rnacentral:lncRNA from 1 species
GGGAUGUGCAAAAGCAAGGCAUACACACACUUAAGCCAAUGCAAGAAUUUUGGAUAAUUGAGCACAAUGAGUGAACACAGAGGAACACAAGACUUUGUGUAUGUAAAGGCUUUGGCAUCCAAAAACCCAAUGCAUAUAGCCUACGCAUGGAAUCUGCGAAGGUAACAUCACCACACUCUCUUCACAUUACACAUCCACAUUCAAGUUCUACACAUAAACUCAAGCUCAGCAACCCUGCACAUGUCUCAAGCAUAAGAGCAUGUGCGCAUGUCUGUGUAGCUCCCUUCAGCAUUCUUCUAUGAAGUCUAGUCAAAGCCACAUACAAACAUAUUAGUUCUUUAACAGGCCAUUUUAUUUAGGCACAAGGCCCAAAUAGCUGACAUAUGGAAUUGAUUGAUUAAUUGAAUUUUGAGGAUUUUUCUCUUCAAAUUGUCUCGAAUGCAAACUAAGUAGAUUCAUUAAAUUCUUAAAGUUAGAUUUGAUGAGAUCGAAUAGUUGUAUUAUGUGAAUAAUUAGAAGAUGAUUUAAGAUGAAUUGAAUAUGUGGUUUAAUUUGAUCUUUUGGAUUAGAUAAUCUAAUUUGAAGAGAAAUUAGAUCUAGACCUAAAGCUAAAUCAAAAAUUGGUUUAGAUGAUAAUUUAGAUUUUCAAUUUAACUUAAUGAAAAAUAGAUCUCAAUAUUUAUUCACCAUAGAGAUUGUUUUUUAGAAAAUCCUAACUCCAAGAGUUUCUUUUCCUUAUUAAUUUCCUUUUACUUUACAUUUUAUUGUUCCUCUCAAUUUGAAAUCAUUGUUAUUUUGAAUUUUUAUCAUGAAUUGUCAAUCUAAUUUCACUUGAUCACAAUCAUUUUUUCCCCUAAUUCAAGCCUUAAUUAUAGGAAAUAAUUCAUCCCAAUGGAUGACACCUAAGACCAAAAUACUACCUUAACUUUUGCGAAAAACCCUUUUUGGUCGGGCAAACUGGAUAUAGAAAAAGCGUAUGAUAAAGUGGACUAGAAUUUUAUUCUCACAGUUAUGCAGAAUAUGGGUUUUGGGGAGAAAUGGAUCAAGUGGAUUAAGUGGUGCAUAUCCACUGCAAGUUUCUCCGUGUUGGUUAAUGGAACCCCUACAGGCUUCUUCCAAAGCUCCAGGGGUUUGAGACAAGACGAUCCCCUUUCCCCCUACCUCUUUGUCAUGGCUAUGGAGGUCUUUAGUGCUUCCAUCAAAAGGGCCGUAGAGGGAGAUUUCUUAUCAGGUUGUAGGGUGAAGGGUCGGAGUGAAGAAAGGGUCCUAAUUUCCCACUUGUUGUUUGCUGACGAUACACUGGUGUUUUGUAAACCUUCACAAGAUCAGUUGACUUAUCUCAGUUGGCUACUUAUGUGGUUUGAGGCUGCUUCAGGAUUGAGAAUAAAUUUGGAAAAAAGUGAACUCAUUCCAGUAGGGAGGGUGGAGAAUAUGGAUGAUCUUGCUUGGGAAUUUGGUUAUAGUCUGGGUAGUCUUCCAACCACCUAUUUGGGGAUGCCCCUGGGUGCUCCUUUUAAGUCAGUUACAGUUUGGGAUGGUGUGGAAGAGCGCUUCUGAAGAAGGUUAGCCAUGUGGAAGAGACAAUAUUUAUCCAAGGGAGGAAGGGCGACUCUUAUUCAAAGUACGUUAUCGAAUUUACUCAUCUAUCUAAUGUCAUUGUUGUGCUUACCAAGCUCAGUUAGACGGAGAUUAAAGAAAAUCCAAAUGGACUUCCUUUGGGGUGGGGGCAAUCUGGAGCAAAAGCCUCAUUUGGUAAGAUGGGAGUUGGUGUGCUUAAGCAAGUCGAAAGGAGGAUUAGGGGUCAAAAGUCUUUCCUUUCUCAACAAGACUCUUCUUGCUAAAUGGAACUGGCGUUUUACAAAUGAGAGAGAGGCCUUGUGGAAUCAAGUGAUUAGAGGGAAGUAUGGAGAAGAUAAAGGGGGUUGGUGCUCGCGGGAAGCUCAUGGUAUGGGUUUGUGGAAAGGAAUAAGGUUGGAUUGGAAGUUGGUGAGCGAUAGGUUGGCUUUCAAAGUUGGUAAUGGGAUAAGGGUGAGUUUUUGGAGGGAUAGAUGGUGUGGGGAGUCUCCUCUGUGUAUGUCCUUUCCCUCUCUUUUUGCUUUGACUGUUGAGAAGGAAGCGUGGGUGGCAGAUAUUUGGGACCCCUUGGUUGAGGGGGGUUGGGGGGGUUCGAACCCCUGUUUUUUAAGAGCGUUCAAUGAUUGGGAGGUAGAGGAGGCGGAGAGAUUUUUGGAGAGGCUUCAGGGUAAGAGAGUUAUUGAGGAUGUGGAGGAUAUGGUGUCCUGGAUUGAAACCAAGAGUGGUAAAUUCUCGAUCAAGUCUCUCUAUGUAGCCCUUGAAGCGGGUGGUUCAUCUUUGUUUCCUUCAAGCUUUAUUUGAAAUGUGAAUGUGCAGCCCAAGAUUAGCUUCUUUGCAUGGGAGGCUGCGUGGGGCAAAGCCUUAACCUUGGAUAUGCUCCAAAAAAGAGGAUGGGCUUUGGCAAAUAGAUGAUUUAUGUGUCUUGAGAAAGAGGAGAACAUAAACCAUCUUCUUCUUCAUUGUUCAAGAACAAGGGUGUUAUGGGAUCUACUUUUUACUUUAUUUGGGGUGUCUUGGGUCUUGCCUUCUUCAGUUACAGAGACCCUUCUAAGUUGGAAUGGUUUUUUCCUAGGCAAAAAUCGCAAGAAGGCGUGGAGAGCUACUCCUCUUCACAUUUUCUGGACUGUUUGGAAGGCGAGGAAUAGAUUGGCUUUCAAAGAUGAAUCGUUGUCAAUUCAAAGACUGAAACACUCUUUUAUUCUUACUUUCUGGGCUGAGGCUAAGUUGUUCAUAGAUGAUUGCCCUUGAACUAUAGCUAAUUUUAUUGAUUGGUUGGGUUCUAAGUAGGUUUGUGGUAUUGGGUUUUCUUUUGUCUUUUGGCCUGGUUGAAGGCGGGUGUAUAGGUAUUGUAUACUUAAAGUCGCUAUUUUAGCGUCUCUUUUUUAAUGAAAUAUUAUUUACUUAUCAAAAAAAAAAAAAAGUUACUUUAGCAUGGAAUACCCUAGAAGAAAGUCCAAUGAACCUAAGGUUUCCAGAACUUCCGUCUGAUGAUGAUGAUGAUGAUUUUGGAGGGGCUAUGAAAGAUUUUAAUGACAUAAUGAUAAGGAUAUAAUGAUUAGAUGCAAAAGCCAUAGGCUGAGAGGGAAAAGGAAUCUGAGGAAAAUAUUGAUAAAAGAACUGAGGCUGCUGAGAUUGCCAAAGAGACUGAUGAUGCUGCUGAGGUUAAUAUUGCUGAGCAGAUGGAUGUUGAAGAAACAACUGAAUAGAAAGGAGAGAAAUUUGUUGAGAUGGAUAUUGAAAAAACUGAGGAAGCUGUAGGCGAGGCUGUUGGAAUAGUAAAUAUCAAGAAGACAACUGAGAAAAUAGAGGAAGAGCCUGCUCAAAGGCAUAAAACUGAUGAAGUUGCUGAAAAGGAACCAAUUAGAAAGGAUACUACAGAGGUUGAGAAAGAAUUUAUGGUUGAAACUGAUGCAUACCCAACUGUGGACAGAAUUAUGAGCAGAAUUUUGAAGCAUUUGGAAGGCAUAUCUGGCAGUUUUGGCUCACAAGGGGAAGCUACUGUUGUUGAUUCUAGUACACCCUAGUGUUGCCAACUGAGCCAGUGAUAUUCGCCCAAUCUGUGUUGAGGAAAUCUGAGGAGCUACAACCUCCAAGAAUUCAAUUUCUAUGAAGAAAUCAAGAAAGGCAGCUUCAAAAAGAAAAGCUUAAAAGCCUCAACCCGAAAGAAGAAUCAACCAAAAGAAGAAAGACUGGAAUUAUAUUGAAGAACCUCCCCAAUCGGAGUAUGAUUUUACAAUGGAUGAAGACAGUUGAAAGAAGAAGAACCCAGGCGAAUUAUUUCUUCUAGGGAGAUAUAAUUGAAGCUCAGAAGAAGAAAUUUUCUAUGUCAGAUGAAGACAUUUCUGAGCUGAUGGAUCUGUUACAACAUGAAGCUUCAAAGUCUAAGCAGUCAACUUCCAAAUCUAGCCCUAGGAAGUCAAAGGUGCAAAUAAUUGUGGACUUUUUCGAGAAAAGAAAGGAAAGGGCAAAGGUGUUGAAUUUGAAGAGGGAGGAUGCAUACAAAGAGAAAACCAGUAGGUAAGAUAAGGAAAAAGCUACUAAAAUACAAGUCUUAGAAUUUAAACAGCAAAAGGAGCCGAUAAGCAAAGAUUUGGGAAACUCUCAGAAGUCAGAAUAUAGAAGGAAAAGGACCUGAAGUCAUUGAGACAACUGAUUCUGAAGCCCAAGAACAGCAGGUUAUGGAACUGGAAAGCACAAAAAUAAGUAGGAAGGGAUCAGAGACCUAUGUUACAAAAGGGACUAAUAGAAGAGGUGCCUAUAAGUUCAAACUCUGAAAAAGAGUCCAUUCAGCAGUCUAGAGGAGACCUCUACCUCCUCCUGAUCUUUCCUUAAUGCCCAUACAGGUGAGAGAUCAAAAUGUGGGAUGUAUAUGCUGAUGCUAGGAAAUGGCUUGUGGUGGUUGAACAACCAAAUAAGGAAGAGAAAGUUGAAGAACCUGAACAGAAAUCAGAGGAUUCAUCAAACCAACCUUCCUCACCCUCCAGUAGCUCUGAAGGCAGUGAGGACCCAUAUGAAGACAAAUAUGUAUAAUCCGAGGAGGUGCUGAAGGCUGAUCCACCAGAAUAUGAGGAGCCUGACAUCCCAGAGUUUAUCUUACCUGGAUCUCAAGAUUCCAUUCCGCACUUAAAGUCCUUACCUUUUAUCCUCAAUAUGAAUGAGCUUAAAACAGAGUUCCAGGACAAGGUGGUCAUGGAGGCAAGCCUCAAUAUUGAAGAUUUGAUGAAGAAUCAAAGGGCAGCAAGUGGAGCUCAGUAACUUAUCUACUAUUCAAGUAAGGAGGCCUUACAGUUGCUUGAUCUUGCUUAUCCUGGACUGGCAGGAGCUUUUUAACCAAGAUAUGGUAAUCAUCAGAGACCUAGGAGGGAAGAGGUUCAUGACUGAAGUGGAUAGAAGAAGCUAUGAGUUGACCACAAAAGACAUUGCCUUUGUUAAGCAUAUUCCAUUCCAGAUUUUCCAGAUGCAGACAGGAGGCCAAGAGUCAAGCCUUACAGCAUGAGGUAGGUGGCAUAUAAUUUUGUCCCCCAGCUACUACAAAGGAUGGAGGCCAAGUCAGAGAUAUAUAAUGAAUUUCAACUUGCCUGAAAAAAUGUGGCUCCAACACCUAGUCCUCACCUAUAACUUCUACCCAUAUGGCUCCAGCAAGGUCAGAAAGGAGACGAGCUUAAGGCUAUUGCACCACAUGCUCAAAGGAGAACAUCUCACCUUCCCCAAGGUGAUCUUUGAAGCUAUGGUUUAGCUGCAUGACUGUAUACACGAGAGGGCCUCAAAUAGAUGCUUGGAUCUAAAGUUGCCAUUUUCAAGACUGAUCACUCAGCUGCUAAUCAUGUGGAAACAUGUCUUUGAGCCAGAUGAGGAAUAUUGCUCUACAGAAGAUGGUGGUCCAGAUGCAUUUGGAUAUGAAGCUUAUUUUAAGGAGAUGCAACAAAAGAGAGAGGUGGAAGUGAAGCAACAGAUGACAACCAUGGACUAUCCAGUCAUAGCAAAUUUUAGAUCACAUAUUGGAGCAUCAGAUGAGGAUACUGAAAGAAAAGAAGAAGGGCCAGAUUGUGAACUGGAAUGCUCCAUUAUGGGGUAAAUUUUCAUAUUUUCUUUUAGUUUUAGUGGACUGAUUCUAUUUACUCUUCUUAUUCCCAAUUUUCUAUUUUGGAGACAAUGCAAAACGCUGGUGGGAGUGGAAAGACUGAAGGUCAGUCCAGUUUCUUUUUGUUUAUUUUGUUAGCCUAACUUUUGUUUACUUAUAUUUCUCUUUCAGUUCCAGUUCGUUUUAAUCUUUAGUCAGCUUAUUUUCUGCGUGUUCACUAUGUUUUGAGUCAGUUUUCAGUUGUUAGUAGAGUUGAAUCAUAAGUUUCAGCUAGCUUGACCUUGUAGUCAGUAGUAAGAAGAGUCUUGAGGGAGGAUCAAACUCUUAACUUAGGGCCUCCUGCCCUCAUUGGUAAGUGUAGUCCCAGUUAUCUCAUUAGCAACUUCUAUUACCUUAUAAAAUGAGUCUGAAUAGGGCUGAAUGAGUAAGGGAUAGUUCUUGAACAUCUAAGGACCUGUUUGGGAAUGUUUUCAAAAUUAGUCAUCAAAAACAGUUUUUAAGAACAGUUUUAAAAAAAUAAUUCUAUGAUGUUUUUAAAAAAGCUUUGUUUGAAAACUUGGAAUGUUUUUAACUUAUUUUCUAUAUUUCCAAAUAUUUCUUAAAAAUAGAUUUUUUUUUUUUUAAACAACACAAGAAAAUAAAUUAAAAUAUUUAAAAUAUAUUUUACAAAAUACCCUGUUUUUAGAACAAGUUCUCAAAAUACCCUGUUUUUUUUUGUCUGGAAAACAGUUUUCUUAAAAAAGUUUCUAAACAGACUCUAAGAGUUCUUGAAAUCUAAUGGUUCUACCUUUCUUCCUUACACGCACUGUGUAGUCUACUCCAUCGUUCUAAACUACUAAGUUAGACUUUUAUCAGGUGGGAAAGACUUCAAAUAAGCUGUCAUUAGUUUUAGGAAUAAGAAAUAAUCAGCCACUUGGAUCCUAACUGAGUGUCAAGGCAUCUUCUCCAUAGGCAAGAGUUGUAGUUCUCCUCCAAAGGGGAGAAUCUGAAGUGUGCAGCUAGGUGGUCUGCUCUUAUUCUUUUGAGGCUUGGUAGUAAGAAAAUCAAGAAAAAUGAGAAAAGUCGAAAAGAAAGAAAAGAAAGAAAUAAAAAAGCAACAAAAUAAAGCUUCAAGUACCAAAGUUAAGUAUCAACUAAGCAACAUUAAAGCUAGGGAGUAAUCCAAAUUAACAGGAGAGAGAUACAGAAGACCUUGAAGGUGCUCUAGGCCAAGCAAGAAAAUUUGAAGGCCCUCCUAAGCUUAGUUUUUUGAGCUAAAAGAGGUGUCUAAGGGGUAAAUUAGCACCAAUACAUAUUAAAAGGAAAAGUAACCAUUACCAGGUUUUGAAACUAUACAUCUAUUUUUGCUGCCAUGAAAUUGAGCUAGUUUGUUCUAAGGAUUUAUCUUAGUUUGAGCCCUUUUCUUGUUGUUUUGCGUUUAGUUGUUGAGGGACUAGCAACAAGCUGGUGGGGGAUGGUGACAAGGACCCAAACUCAGCACUCUAAUGGGGCUUAUUGAGCUCACUUAAGUGUGUUUGAGGUGCUUAUGACUUAUCCAUUGACAGUCUGUUUUUAGUGCCUUAGUUUUUGUGUUUGAAUUGUUUCCUUGUUAAUUUCAGUUUUUGGGAGCUAUUUUUGGCGAAAAUAUUUAUGACUGAGGUACCAUGGGAGCUUCCAAGAAGGUCAGAGGGAGAAGGAAUAGAAGAAUUGAUGCAAAAAUGAAGGAAUUUGGAGUUGGUGGACUGCACAAAAGCUCUACAUUUGCAUACACACACACACUCACUCACUGAAGCCUGCACAAGGAUUUUAGGUAAGCAAAGGGAGUGCACACAGAGGAACCCAAGACUUUGCAUAUGCAGAGGCUUUUGCAUACAAAUCCCCAAUGCAUAUGGCCUAGGCACACCACUUCCUGCACAUGGACUCUGCUCAAAGCAACAUCAGCACACUCUCUGCCCAUUAAACUGUCAUACUCAAGUUUUGCACAUAAACUCAAGCUCAGCAAUCAUGCGCACAAGUCCUCUACGAAGCAAGCUAACACAAUUCUAUGCAUAUGUCUGCACAACUCACUUAAGCAUUCCUCUAUGCAUAACUUCAAGUCCUAUCAAAGCCACUCACAAGUCUGUGUACGCAGACAUAUAAAUUCUUUUGUCAUUAAUACACUCCCAAGGCAUUGAGAUUUAAGCUCACAUGUGGCAAGGGACACCUUUUCUGCACUCCAAGACAGCAUCUCCAUGUGGCAUUUGGAUUCCAAAAAUAGUUAUACUGGCAUCAAUGACAGACAGCUAGUUAUCUAUUCUGGUCAUUGAGGAGAGUCAAGAUCUAAUAUGGAGAGAAUUCAUUCAUCAUUGAGAAUGAAACAUCUUUUGGAUCAUUUUCUAUCAUCAAUUGUUCAACACUGCCAUUGCUUCUACCUUCAACGCUGAGGACUUUCAGUUUUGUUUUGUUUCUUCAUUUUGUUUUGAAUAUGAGAUUUGGGUUGUAAGAAACAAUUUCAAUUUCUUGUUUACUUCUGUAUUUGAAAAGCAAUUUUAAUUUUCUGUUUCUAAUCUUUUAGGACGGUUCAUUACAGUUUUUCCAGUUUUAAUUCUUUGUGAAAUUCCAUGUCUCUUUUCUUUUAUUUUACUAUUUUGUUUACUCCUUUUAAUUUAAACAUAAGUAGCUAAAUCCCUUAAGGCACCAAAGGUUGGGUUAAGCUAAGGCAAAUCAUUCCUUACAUAAGUCCUCCAAUGGUUUACUCGCUUAUGUAAAGUUCAGGAGAAUCCUAACUGGGGCAAAUGCUUGUUGCACUGGUUGUGAGAGCCAAAAGUUAAGCAACCUUAAGAGCAUUCCCUUAGACUGAGCACUUUAUUUCUGGAACAGAAUCAAGGUCUGAAUCAAAGGCCAAAAGCACCGGUUCAGUGUCAUUGUUUCUCCCCCAACCUUAGGCCAAAUGCAUCUUCUUGAGGAGGGCCUGAGCUGAGGGUGAUUUAAUUUAUAGAUCUCUACUUUUGGUGUCUGCUUUUCUUAUUAUUAUUUGUUUUUAAAAUUUCACCCAACUGGUUUUCAAGAAUUUCCAUAAAUUUCCAAAACUGCCUCUAUCUGCAAGCCAUACAUCUUGAAUCACCUAUUUCCCAUACCUCUAACACUGAAAUCCUUAGAUCGCUGACCCCCCAUAUUCACCUCAUGUAUCACAUCAAAGGUUCUUCAGACCUGAACACAUGAUCUGAGCACAAGCAGUCUUUUCUUAUUCUUCUUUUUUACAUUGGGAAUCUUUACUUAAAAUCCUCACAAACACUGAAGACGAGUCAUGAAGAGCUGGCAAGUUUGAACCUUACAAGGCAAGUCAUAAAGGAGACAUGAACAACAAAAAAAAAAAAAAUGGUUUUUCUCUAGGUUUUUGCUACAUUCCCAUAUAGAGUAGCAUGUUACAGUAUCUUAGUCAAUCUAGUCAUGUGUUAGGAAAGAUGUUAAGGUUGGUCCAGCACCCAACAACUUAAGCUUUUUGGUCAAUUAGUUGUAUAACAUGAUACCGAAUUCAUUAUCUAGUAGCCUAAGAUUUUAGCUCAAUUAGGAGAUUAACAAAAAACUUACUUUCACGUUUUCUACUUUUUAUUUGUUUGUGUUUCCUGCAUUUCUUCUCCCACUUCUACGCUUCAUCUUACCAGACUAACAGUACCAUUCGUUUUGUGAAUACUACCUUUGAGAAAAUAAUGUGAUUUUUACUUACUGCUGCUGUUAGUUAAUAUUUCCAGCAGCUGCUAAUUUCCAAUAUUUUAACUUUUUGUAGGAACCAUAUUUCUUGCAUAAGAAAGGAGGAAAAAUAAGUACCUGGGCAAGGAAACCUCCCAAUGCUGGUCCAAUGAUCAAUCCUACGCCCCAUGCUGUAUUAAUCUAAAAUAAAAUUAAAACUAUCAGUGAUGGAUUUAUGGUGGUGCUCAACACUUCUAUGAACUCUUGAUGAACAUAAAGAUACAGUGCUCACUGUUGACAGUCCUAAAGCUUGGUAUUCUUCACGGAAAAUUUCAGUUGCAUAUGCCUGAUUAGGGAAGAAACUUGAUCAUGUUUGAUAGGGAAAUACAUACAGAAAAAAAAAACCAAUAAAUUGAACCAUAAGUCCAAGCAUUUUAAGGCAUUAAUAUAAUGAUCAAAUGAUCGUCCAAAAAGUCAUAAGCAAUAAAACAAUACCAUUAUUGGUCCAAGUAAAGUACUNNNNNNNNNNNNNNNNNNNNNNNNNNNNNNNNNNNNNNNNNNNNNNNNNNNNNNNNNNNNNNNNNNNNNNNNNNNNNNNNNNNNNNNNNNNNNNNNNNNNAUAAGAGUUCAACAUAAUAUCUAACAAAAUGGAAACAUUGUUUAAGCAUUGCUUGCACACAUGCUCUAAAAUCUCAACAAUAUGAACAUCUUGAUCAUCAACCUAUGUGAAGAUGGGAAUCUAUGGGAGAUUUCAAUUUUCAGCAAAGUGGGAUAUUGUCAAAAAAUUUGUUUAGACUGUCUAGAACACAUGUUAUCACUAUGUUACGGGAGAACUUCCAACCUUUCGGCAUGGGGUGGCAGACAAAGCUUGGCGACCUUGUCAUUAUGUAUGCAUGCUUGCCAAGGAAACUUUGUUUUCAAAAUUGUUGGUUUGAAUUUGUUAAAGCAAUUAGUCAUCAUACUUGAAUAAUAAUGUCUCUCCUAGCAAUGAUUGUGCAGGAAGAAUGUAGUUGAAGCUUCCCUGAAUGAUAAUGCGCAUGAAUUAGGACACUUAGCACAUGCUAAGUUCUUUUCUUACCUUAAGAAAGAACCUUCUAUUUUUCCCAUGAUUCAAAAUACCACUAGAAUAUAAGCAAACACAAGUGUGUUAGGGAACUCAUGUUCUUAAAAUUGUUGAGAAUAAAACACGGUGAAGAGGGCGGGUAUGAAAAAUUCUCAUGUCCAUAAUCUUGUCUAAAUUUUUUAUUGGUACAAAAGUGAGAAUUAAUCUAUAUAAAUGAUAGCAGGUCGGUAUGGGGGUGAUCGUCCCAAACCCGUCCAGUUGUCAUUCUUGUAAAGUCUCUUUACUUGUAUCUCAACGUCAUGGACUUGUAGUUGAUCUCAUGGAUAUUACUAAAUGAUUUAGAUUUCAUCACACAUUUAAACCGUGAGCAUUAAAAGUUCUAUAUGGUGAAAUAUGAAUAAUAAGACAUUAAUUUAAUUCUUCUUUUCAUGAAAGUUCUCGGUUGGAAAACAAAUGUGAAGUGAAGCAACUCCAAAUACAUACAAAGCUGACUAGUUACAACUUACAACAUCAUCCAUGGCAGAUAAUAAUUAGGAAUUUCCAAUGAGAAUGCAGUACUCACCAUGAAAUAAAGGUACGGAAAAAGAGAUGAUAUGGGCAGCGCUGAAAAUGGAAAGCAAACACCAUUACCCAACAAAUUAUCAAAUUCCGAAAUGCAUUUAGUUUAAAAUUUCAAAAAAAUAAAAAUAAAAAUAAAAAUCUAACCCCUAUUUGUGUAGCCAAUUUUCUGUCUUUAUUUUUAAAAAAUUAGAAAAUAAGUUGGAGGAUAUAUUUGGAUAUUUAGGUUGAAGUUUUUUGGUUUUCAUUUUCUAUUUUUAUUUUUUAAGAAUAGUUUUUAUUUAAUUUUUUUUACAUCUUCUAUUUUCUAAAAAUACCCUUAUUAAUUAUAUAUUUAUUAAAAAAAUUAUUAAAAUGUUAAAAUAACUAAUAAAAAAUAAAAUAAAAAAUUAAUGAACAAAUAUAGUUUAAUUAUUUAAUUAUUUUUUUAUGUAAAAAAAGAGGGGUACCAAACAAAAGAAUACAAUUUAUGAACUCCUUUGUUAACUAUAUACAUAUUUUUUAUUUUACUAUUAAAAUAAUUAAUAAAAAAAAAGAAAAUAAAAAUUAAUCUACAAAUACAAUUUUAUUAUUUUCAUCAUUUUUCAAGUAAAAAAAUUUAGUACCAAAUAAGGUUUCCUAAUUUUCAUUUUUUAAAUAUAAUUUUCAAUAUUUUUAAUCAAAAUUUCAUUUAAAAAAAUUGAAAAUUUUUUCCAAACCAAAUCCAAUCUAAUUCAUUCAAAUUAUUUUCAUGUUAUUUACUACUUACUGCAAAUACAUAUGAAGCUAACAUGAUAGUGAGCUCCCACCAUUGAUGAAGGCUCAAUGGAAGGAAGGUGGUGGUAUGAAAGUAUUGCAGUGUAAUAAUAGUAGUAAGAGAGAGUGUAGUUACCAUUGCAGAGCACCACAAUCCACACAAAAAACAGUUGUCUAACUGGUAAACCUCUCUGUGUGUCUUUAAGAUGCUCCACUCUACAUCCUGGGCAUCCCCCAUGGUAAACCUUCUUCAACAACACCUCUCUCUGCUCCUCCUUCAUUUCCCUGUAAACAAAGUAGCUGUUGAAGGUGCAAACUUCAAUGCUUAAAAGUAGAUUUUUAAGUAGGAGACAAAAUAAAUUAAAACGUGGAGCCAUUGGUUGAAAUGACUACAUGGUGUGCAUUGAUGAACAACAUUACACAUCUUGAAAAAAUAAAAAAGGACGCGCACGAGACCCGGCCAUCGGAAGAGUGGGGCCUCGAAGAUUAUGAGGACACAGCUCACACUGUAGUCGCAUCUCGCUACACAUCCAUGUUCCCAAGGCCCUCUUGUUGAACGGGCACCAUCAUAAAUUACAUAAUGACAAGCAUCGGCACCAAUAAUUGGCAAUGGUAUGCAUCAAGGGAAAAUCACAUCACAUCAAAUCAGUAACAGUCAUGGUUCAAAAUAUCAGUCGGGUUCGGUACAACUCGGCUGAAGCGAAUAAUCUUUCAACACAAACCCAAUUAAGAACCGUUAAACUUAGUCGCCUCCGUUGAGAUUCUUAGUAGACUCAAUUGAAAUUACGAGUUCAAUUGUUUAAAAUCUAAAUUUUCUCAAAUUAAACCAAUUUUUUUUUCUCUCUUUUAUAUCACAACAAAAGGCAACCAAAAUUGAGAAAUCUUUAAUAAAUAUGAGAGAUUUUCUUAAAAAUAAAUUUUUUUCAAGACCCAUAAUCGUGAAGGAUAAAAAAGAAGAAAGAAAGUUUCAUAUUGGUGAUGUAGUUGUGGUGGCCAACCGGUAAGAAACAUCACAUUCUUUCAUCGAUGAUGAUCUUUGCAUAUUGGUGUUGCCUCUCCUUGCUCGAUCUCUAUUGUUUGGUUGUGUAGGUAUCCCUUGGGAUUCAGAAUUAAAGAAAAUGACUUAAUGUAUUGUUUUAUAUAAAAAUGAUUUAUUAUUUCAAAUGUUCAUGUAUUUACAUCAUUUUACCUUAUAUGACAAUGGUGUUUGAAAUUGGAAAUUUGAAAAUUAGUAUUUUACCUUAUAUGCUAACCGUAUUUGGAAUUGAAAAUUUAAAAAUUAGUAUUUUAUAGAUUAAAUAUGGUAUGAAUGCCUUUAAUUUAGGUAAUAUAUUAUUUUAUAUGGUAAUGGUAUUAUAUAAGGCAGAUUAUUUUAUAUAUUAAUUUAUUGUUAAUAAUUUAAGAAAUUAUUUGAUUUAUUAUUAUGUCAAUAAUUUAUUAUUAAAUUUAUUAGUUUUUUAAUUCAUUUAAUUAUAUUAAAAUUUUUUUGAACUUUUAAGUAUCUUAUUUUGCGUAUCACCUGAUACCAAACCGAGAUACCAAUAUUGUGCCUUAGAACCCUAGAGUCAAUGAUCGAUACCGCGAUUUGGAACCAUGAUUGAAACAUUUAUGCACCUGUAUGAUAUUCAACAUUUUCAAAUAAAAGAUGAUAUUAUACAAAAUGAAGAAUUUAAUAAUGUAAAAAUAUAAUAACCUAUAGAAAAUAAGUAAUAACAAAACAUUUGUUUUAUCCAUGCAAACCAUACUAGCAAAUAACAUUUUCUAUGCUAUUUGAAUAUUAUCUAAAAUAAAAAUGACUAACAUAUAAUAGUAGUAAACCACAUAAUAAUGUAACUUGAUAGUGAGUUGAUGGUUGGGAAGCUAAGCCAAAAUGAGGUGGUGGUUAGUUAAAAGUAUUGGUUUGUUGUGGCAUGAAACUCUAUAUCAUUGCCUUCAACUCCACCAAUUGAGUGGUAGUUGUAGUCUUAAAACUCUAUGAUCUAUCGUAGCAACUUCUUUGUCUCUUCUUAGGAAAUUCAGUUGCACUCGAACACUUAAGUUGUGAUUCAUUUCCCAAACCUUGAAUGUAACUUGAUCACUUCUCGAGCACUCAAUGAUUUGUCUAUAAGUCAGAUAAGAGUAUCAACCUUCAAGGUACUUUGCUCUUGAAUGUCAUGCAUCUCUUCCUGGAAAAUAUAGUAAAAUUUCAAUUAGUAAAAAUAUUAAAAUAAUGUGAUGCAUCAAGAAUCUAGCAUCUAUCUAGUUAAAUUGGCACCUUCUUAAGAUAAACAAGUCAAUCAACAUGUAAAUAUUAGCAUAUCAACCAAAAAAAAGCAACAUAUUACCAAGAAAAAAAAGCCUUCAACACAAAUUUUUUUAGUUAAACCCGAGAAAAACAAAACCUAGAGCGUGGCAACUCACUUGACAGCCGCUCACACGGAUUCUGCAGAGCCUCCCGAAGAAACUGAUCCACUUGGUUGACAGAGUCCUCAGAAAUCAUCCCGGAACCGACGAAGACGACAAAGCCGGAGCAGAAGCAGAAGCUGAAGCUGGUAUCGAGGCAUCGAGAGAGGAAGAGGAAUCUUUCUUGGAGGAUGAAGAGGAGAGCAUCAAUCUGUUCAUGCUCUCGUCCAAAUCAGCGACCUCCCAGGACUCAGGGCCUCCGAGAUCGUGAAUGUAAAACAUAAAAUGUUAUUUGGUAAUCUGAUCAUGAUUUGCAGGCAAAGGUUGUGUUUUUCAGCCUGGCUCAAAAAUCGUGGAUUUAGGGUUCGUGAAAUUUAAAUCCAAUGGCACAAAGCAAAGCGACCCCUAGAAUAGAUCCAGAAAACACAGGAAGCAAAAAAAAAAAGCAAUCUUUCUAGUUUUCCUUGGGGGUUUUGCAUGGAUUUUCUCGGAAAUCAAACGAGGAUGAAUUUUCCCGGAAAUCGAAUGGGGAUGGAUUUUCUUGGGAAUCAAACGGGAGUUGCAAAAAAAGAAAAUAAUAACAUGAUUAGAUUAGUACCUGCGAGGAUUGAGAGUGGCAAAGGAAAAUAGGGCCUUUUUAGGGAUUCUCUCGGGAGGGCAACUUCAUUGAUUUUUAGAUUUAGUAGAGAUUUGAAAAAAAAAAAAAAAAAAAAAAAAAAAAAAAAAGAAACAAAUAAAGACAACAAUUUUCCUCUCUCUAUAUAAAUAAUUAUUAAUUAUCAUCUUUAUUUUGAUUAAAUCACCGCUGAAAUUUGGGUUUUUAUCUAUAAUAUUUUAUGAAUUAAAAUUAAUUUGAUAAGAUAAAUUAUUAAUAAUUUUAAUUAUUUAAAUAAAUUAAUAUUAAUAAAAAAAAGUUGUUAUCACAUAUUUUUAAUAAAAUUUUAGAAAUAAAAUCUCAAAUAAAAUAUUUUAUAUAAAUUAAUUUAAUUUUUCAUUUAAAAUGUAAUCAAACAUGUUUUAAUAAAAGUAUUUUAAAAAAUUUAAAAGAAAUAGUAUCUUCAACAAAAUGAGCUCCCUUCAUCUAACAAUAUGAUAGAACCACACCGAUCUUCAUUUUAAUACUAAGACUAUUACAAUAUCAUAUAUAUUAUAUUUAUGUAUAAAUUACAAUAUCAUAUAUAUUAUAUUUAUGUAUAAAUUGUUUUUAUUCAAUAAAAUCAAAUAUUUUUUUAAUUCAAUUCUAACUUUAUACACUUCAAAAUUUCAUAAUUAUUACUCUUAAAAUUCAAAUAUUGAAUUUAUCAAUGUCUACCGAUAUUUUUCUUCUUAAUCAUAUUUAUGUUAAUUACACUUACAAAAUGACUUUAAAAUAUGUAUAUUUACUUAUUUUUAUCAUUUUUUUAGAGUUUUUGCAAGCAUUCCUAUAAAUUUUAAAUAAUUUUUGUUCCACUUAUAUUUGUGAAAAAAUAUCCACCAAUAUUUUUCUUAUAUUUCUCAUAUAUCUGUAAUUAUUGAUAUUUUCAUCCUGGUUAAAACUACACUUGAGAUCCUUAAAGACUAUAUUUGACUCCCUAAAAAUUUGAGAAAAAAUGUAAAGGAAAGAAAAUGGAGAGGAAAAGUAAAAAGAAAAAAAAAAUGAAGAUAAAUAAAAAAUAGAUUUAAAGUCAAUGAAUUAUUUUUAUAUACUACUUCAAACUUAUUUAAAUUAUUUUAACUCAUCAGUACAAAGAUUAAAUAAUUUGAAAAAAGAAACAUAACUAAUUUUAAUCAUAUUUGAUUUUCUUUGGUAUUAUUUUGUUGGAUAACCAAACAUGAGAAAAUAAUUUUAUUAAACAUUUUCUUUCUUUCCUUUGUAUUUUUCGGAAAUAAAAAAUACCCUAAAAAUAUACUGAAAGCUAUAUAUCACAUUAACCAAAAGUUAAAACAAAACUAUAAUUUCUUUAAAAUAAAAGUGGAUUAUUUAACAAAAACAGAUCAAUUCUCUUGUCAAAAGUAUUGAACUUCCAUAUCAAAUUGAUCCACAAUGAGCAGGAUUUUUAUUUCCUUAACAACAGAAUAUAAUAAGAUAACUAUAAAAAAAAAAUGGUUCCAUUCCUAUUAAAAUUAUUUUCUAAAUUAAAAAGUGAAAUACUCAAUGAAAUUGUUUCUUUUUUGAAGCCAAAAUGAAUUCACCAAAUCAUCCAUCCAAUGACAUCCAUAAAGAUCUCAACUUUAGAAUUGGAAAUUGCACAAAAGCAAUUCAGAUUAUGGGGCUAGUACUACCCCAACUGAAGAAUGUAAGGAGAAGAUCAAAAGUACCAUAUAACUUGAGAUAAGAUAUAGGAAAAUCACCAAAACAUCACUCAUCUUUUGUGACAUUAAACAUUCGAGGACAGCUAUAGACAGAGCAAAAUGCUUGCAAUGCCAUUAACCACAAGAUGCAAACGGUAGCCAGAAACGUUAGAAACUGCCAUGAACCAAACACGUAACGCUUCAUAAACUUUCCGGCCUUAACCUGCCAUAUGCCAGUGUGAUAGUUGUUCACAUCUUCAAUCACCUUAUCUAGGAAGGGCACCUUCGUCAACCUUAUGGUCUUGUUCAUCCCAUUCCACAGGUCGGCCACCUCUUCAUCACUCUUCAACCGGUUCAAAAUAAUUCCUCUUUCUCUCAGAAACUGGGCAUCUUCCUUGGUAUCAAUAAUCCCAUUCAUUAGUUCAGUGUACCGAGCAAUAAUGAGUGGCCCUGAUGCAUUUGAUGCUUCAUAUGCAACCAGGUUUCUCAGAAUAACCUCUGUGUUUACUUCUAAGCUAACAGUAGGGAGGUAAAGUGUGGCCAUCUUAGCAUCGAAAGUGAUGGAUGAGAUGCUACCAUUAGUAGGUAAGAAGCGGACACCGGAUUUGGAGAGCUCGGACACUGAAGGGAUGGCGAUUUCCUCUAUCAGUGGAGGUUUGAUGAUGUUGUUCCCAUUUUCAGGCUUGUUUUCUUCUUUGUUUUGGGAAAAGAAGAUAUCUUCGACAGGUUGUUUCAAGAUGGAAAACCCGGGGAGCUUGGAGACGAUUGUCCAAGGCAAUUUCAGUAUGACUUUUACAGGAUCGGAUAAUAAAAGUCUCUUGAGAAGACGUAUUGGGCCUUGAGUGCAUGUUGAGACCAGAUUCCAAAUUAUCUGAAAUAGCUGUUGCACAUAAUUGGAAUCUCCAAAAGAUUCUUCUUUGCCCUCCUUUGAUUCAUCUUCGUUCUCUACUUCAAUUAUUUCAGAUGGUUCUUUUGAUCUUGGCACGAUGAGAUGGUACAGAAAGUCCAGCAGGUGGGCUUGCUCCUCAACGUGGAUCUGGGGCAAGUCCUUCAUCAUCCCAAAUGGACAAAGAUCUUCACCAAACCCGGCUAACAUUGAACACAACAUAUCAUCAGCUUGAUCUAGAGUGGGGAACUGGAAUUCUAGCACCUUCCUCAAUACAAACAAUGGAAUUUGAUUCUCAAGCAUCACCAUGUCUCUAAGAAUCGCAUUAUGAGCUGAUUUGGUCCCGGCAUAAUCAACUAGGUGUGACAUCCUGGAGGAAACUCUGGUCAGCACCCGACCCGCCUUGAUGGCAUAGACUUGAAGGAACUCAAGCAAGAAAGAGGCAUCAAUAGCCAUCAUCCACGCUAAGGUAUCACCAUUGAACUCCAAGAACUUGUGGUAACAAGCUCGAAUCCUUGGCUCAUGCUUGGUCAACUGAUCAACAAGGCUUUCAAACUUCACUCUUUGGAGAUGCUUUUGAGUUCUUUUCGCUGCUGCAAGCUUAUACCUCUCCAUCUCGUAGAGCUCCGGCCGCCAAUGAUGAUAAGGCCCCAGUGCAACUUCUUGAGGAACGUAGCAAUCCGGCUUAGUAGCCAUUAGGGUUUUGGGCACAUUGUAGAUGUUCACGGGGACUUCACUAUCUUCUUCAAGCUCUUCAUCUAGAGUCCUACGUAUCUCAAUCACCCAUCUGAGCUCAUCAAAGCUUGGGUUAGAGUUGGAGGUCAUGGUGGAUUAAAGAGAAGGAAGUUUUUGCCUUUUGGUGGAGUUGGCAGUUCAAUGUGGUGUAUUAGGUAGGAGGGAGUUAGAAAAAUGAGGCUUUAUUAUAUAUAUUAUGAGACAUGCCGUGAAUGAAGCGAUUUUCUCUUUGGUAGGACAUAGGAUUCAUGGACUUUAAUGAGAAUGCGUUUUCUACAUGUUUUUUUUUUUAUAAACAUUCCACAAUUAACCGAUCGAGGCUCUUUCUCACUCUGAGAUUAAUUUGGGAGGCCGGCCGUUAGGCCACGUACAGAUGAGAUUCAAAGAGAGAUGAUAGAAUUAAUUAAUCCUGCGUUUUCCACAUGGUUUCUUGUUCAAAAGGACAUUUUUUUUCCUUCGAAGUACUUAAUUCAGUAGGGCAGUUAGGCAGCAUGUGGUAUGAAUGUGAAAAAAGGAGACGUGGAAAUGUGUUCUGCAAUCCCAAAUUGAAGUUUUCUGAGGUCCCGUGACAAGUACAUGAGUGGAAUACAAGUUGGGUUUAUGAAAUUUUCAAGAUAACACUUUGUUUUUUUCUGUAACCCCCUGUGUGAAGGGAAUUUUAGAAAUGUUUGUUGCCUAGCUUGCCUUCAACAAAGUAUUAAUUAGGAUAGAUAUGAUGUCGUUUUAGUAUCACAGCAUAGUCACCACACCUUCUUUUUCCGACAGCGAUUUUUUGUCAUAACUCAUAAGGUAUUCCAACAUGGGCUUGGUUUUCCCCUAAGAUAGAUAAAUUGAUGGAUACCUUACACACAAAUUUCGUGAAAAUCCUACAAAAUUAACAAAAUAAUAGGACAAAUAAUGUGAAUAAAGAUUUUAUAAAAAUUGAAAUUUGUGGGUACAAUAUAUUCCUCUUAUUCUUUCGUUUUAACCAUAACUUAGAGAACUAUGACAAAAUUGUUUUACUGGAUUUGAAGAUUAAUCGAGAGCCUAAAGUGACUUUUUCUCAAAUAAACUUGUUGAAUUGUGAAGAACAUGUGUGCAAUUCUUUCGUCGUUUACCAUUAUUGAACUAGUAGGCAGCCCUUCUACUGUUUACUAAACUUGUAGGAGAUUUUAUGAAACUCCUCUUUUUAUGAAGCCUAUUUUCACUUGAAUAUUUUCUAAUCUCUUUAGGAUUUGUUUCAUAUGUAAAGAAUCAAAUUUUGAAUUCCCAAAUUUUAGUUGUUUAGUUCAAGGGAUUUAAUCUUUUAAUUUUAGCAACUUUUCUUUAUUUGAAGGCUUUACCAAUGAGAUAAUAAUAAUAAUAAUAAUUAUAGUCAUAGUCUUCCAAAAUUGUGCCACGUGUCCAAUAAACCCAAAUCUUAUUGAACCAUGAAAUUACAAUUUUUUUUUAAAAAAAAACUAAAUUAAAUGAUAAUUUAAUUCACUAAAUUUUUUAUGUCUACAUAUACAUAGGUAUAUAGGUUUUAGAUAUAUUUUAAGUUUUGUAGCUAUACAAAAUUCCUAUUAACCCUACAAUAUUAAGUGCUUGUUUGGAUAUAUUUUUUGUCUUUUACCUUUAAAAUAUAAAAUAAAAAUAAUUUUUAUAUAAAAUAUAGUAACUUUUAUAUAAAACAUAUGAACUUACCUUAUUUGCUUAAAAAUUAUUUUUAAAAUAUUUCAAAUAUAAAAUAGUAAAAACAUUUUAAUUCCUCGAUUUUUUACAAUCUUUAUAUAAGUCUCAAAAGACUUUUAUAUUUUAUAUAGAAUUUAUUAUUAUUAUUAUUAUUAUUAUUAUUAUUAUAAGAAAAAACAAAAAUUGUACCCAGACGAUAUGUAUAGUUUAAACCAAUUAAAUAAUUAAUUUAUAUUAAUAAUAAUUUAUAACUUAAGUAAAAAUAUAAGUAAAAAAAUCUGUUAUAAAGCGAUGUGAUAUUUAAAGACAUUGAAUGUAAUUUUGGACAAGACUGAAAGAUUAAUUGUCACUUGGAUUUUGUAUAAGGAUAUGGCUACUGAGAAAAAUAUCAAAUGAAUGAUAAGGAUGGGAUAUGAAUUCAUUGACAAUAUCUCUAUGUUUAUCCAAACCUCAACCCAAUAAUUUAUUGAUCCAAUAUAAAAUGAUAUUAACUAAUUUAUUCAUAAAAAAAAAAAGGAAAAAAAUUUGAAGUUACAAGGAAAUGAAAGGUAAGUUUUUAAGUUUCUCAAAUUUUUUUUUCUCCACCUAUUUUUCUGAAAUUACUAAUGAUAUCCAUAUCUUAUCCAUAGAUAUAAGAUCUAAAGAAAGGAAAAGACAAAAAAAAUUAUCAACCAAAUUAAGUGUGAUGUAUAUGGAAGUUUUAAAGCAUAUUAAUAAAUUCAUAAUUGACUAAAAUUUCAAUCUUUGGAUUCCGAUGCAUAGUUUAAACCAUGAACAACAAUGUACAAUAGAUAAAAAAAAAAAGUGGUUUGAUAGAUAAUAUUGCAGUUUUUUUAAUCAUUUCGUUACUUAGUUGAUAUUUUUGUUCCUUUUUUACUAAUUAGAUGCUACUUCGCUAAUACAAUAAAUUAGGAUCGAAGAAAAUGUUUUAAAUUUCCUAAAUUGAUUUCUAUUAUAUUUUUUAAUUUCAAAAAUUAUUUUUGAUAAGUUUUAAAAUUAUGUUUAUUUCUAAAUUUAUGUUUGGUAUUCAAGAGAAUUUUUGGGAUAUUUUUAGUAAGUUUUAAAAUUGUAGUUAUCUUUAAAUUGGUAUUUGAUUUUAAAAAUGAUCUUUAAAAUAUUUUAUAAUUAGAAAACUCUUCAUAAUUCUAAAAAGAAAAAUUAUAAAUAUAAAUAGAGAUUCUAUUUGAAAUAUGUGGUGGAUUUUCAUGAACCUAGUAGAGAAAAUAUAAUCAUUCAUCAAAAACUUUAUCCUUAACUUUUAAAUUUUCAAGAUAUUUUUUUUUAGAGUAACUUUCGAUUACGACAAAUGUCAGAUGACAAUAUAAGACCUUAGGGAGUAGGUGUAUCUGAUCAAGUAAAAUUAUAUACCUUUUUCACAUAUUUAAUAAAUUAUUUAAUGGUUGAGAGAUCACUCAUGGUUUUUUAUACCUAGUAGGUUGUUAUGUGAUUUUUCUAUGUUAUAUCUGUGUUAAUUUGAGUGAUUGAUUUUAUUUAUAUUUACAUAAAAUUUUUUUUUUUCUAAAUAAUUAAUAUAAAGGGACAAAUCUAAAAUAGGUAAUAAAAUAUUAAUUUGGAGAAUUCAAGGACUCAACCGAGUCAAAUAAAAAUUUCUUUCACAUUUCUUUUAAGAAAUGUCAAAAAUAUAUCAACAUCUAAUGAUAUCAUUCUAAAAUAUUUUAAUUUUUUAAGUAAUUUAAAAACCUUGAAUUAAAAACCCAAUGUUUCAAUAGCUUCAUCACUUUUAUUUAUGAAAAUAAUAGAAAUAUUUAGAAAUUAAUUUUCAUUUCCACCACAAAACUGUUUUUCCCACUUCAAAAUGCAUUUGAACAUGCUUACCACUUGAGAUUAGAGCCGGUUUGUUCUCUAGACUUUUUUUUCUCGUUAUGUUUGAUUAGAAAGUAACACAAGAAUCAUUGCACCAACUUGCUAUAUUAUUAACCAACUUCUCCCCUUCAACCUUUGAGCGUGUUUCACUUUUCCUCUCACAUUCAAAACUCAAUACUUUAACUCCUAAAUUUGUUAAUUAAAAGAGCAACUUUUACCUUUAAACUUGUUAAAAAGUCGAUAAAUAACAUAUUAAGUGAAAAUAUAAGAUUGAAAUGUAAAGAAAAAUACUUAUUAUCCAAGUUCAAAGUUAUUACACUUUAAAGCUGCAUCCGAAAACCAUGAAUAAAUAUACAAACAUCCCUCUAAAAUAAAAGUUGGUAUAUGUCGUAUUUCGAAAGCAUUUGGAAAUUUUCACGUUAAGUUUAUAAACUUAAAAUUGAUUUUAUCCAAAUUCAAACUAUUGUUUGGAUUGUGGAAAAAAACAAUUUUUUUUAUUUUAUAAUUUUAUGAAAUUUUUGUAAUUAGGGGACUAAGUAUAAACAAAUUUAGAAGAUAAAUUAUUAAGUUUUGAAUAUGAGGGAUUACAUAGUAAAAUAUGAGAAAAAAAAAUGAGGGGUAAAAUGUAUUCAACUUUUUGUGGGAUAUGGCAAUAUGGCUUAGUAGCCAAUAGGGUUUUGGGGACAUUGAAGAUGGAUACAGGAACUUCACCUUCGUAUCCAACCUCUUCAUCUAGGAUUCUACGUGUUUGAGUCACCCACUUGAACUCAUCAAAGUUGAGUUAGAGUUGGACGCCAUGAUGGAUUGAAGAAGAUUUUUGUUGGACAUGGCUGUUCAAUCUGGUGUGUUUGGUGUGAGAGAAUGAGGCUUUCAUAUCAUAAGGAAUGGAGGCUUUCUUCUCUCUUUGUUUUUUUUUUCCUUUUUGUGUUAAUUUGGUUGCUUGUGGUUGAGUGUGAUUGCUGCCUCACAUGUUCUUUAGCAAACUCAGAUGGUACCAGGAGGGCUUCCUCAAGCUCCUUAAGGCUUGGACCCAAGUUCGAAUCCUGGGAAGACCACUCUAGGCGCCGCGCAAUAUUGGCCAAACAAACGAAACAAACUAUAUUUUCUAAACUUUAAAGAAUUUAUAUUAAAUGUAAAUUAAAUCCAACCUUCACACUUUGCAUUAAUAAAGUCAUCUUCUAAGUCCUAUUGCAACUACUACCCUAUUACAAUUUACAACCACUAACAUUUGGGUCUGCAACAAUUGUAAGUUUGUUGUAUUCGAGAAAAGAUUUUAAAAUCUUGAGAUGUUCUUUAUAUAUAUAUAUAUAUAUCUUGUUAACAAAGUGCAUCUAAAGUAAUGUUCUUAAUUGUUGCAUCUUAGAGGUAGGAUGUUUUGUUCCCUUCUACAUUAUGUUCAUAAUUGAGGAGGGUGAAUCUACUUUAAAGAUGAUACUUUGUCAAAACUUAACCACUUUAGUUCGAUAAGUACCCUAUUUCAGUUUUGUUUUGUUUAUUGCUUUGUUAGUUUUAGGCUUAGUUAUGUUGCCUAAGACUAAAUUCUUAGAUUUUUAUUUAACAUUGACUCCACUAUAGUAGUCAUACCCAUUGUUGCAUUUAGGUGUGUUGCAACCUUUAUGUUAUUGCAUCUAGGUUUGUAGCCUUCUUCCUAUUGCAAUCAUUGUACAUCUUUUAAAGGUUCUUCUAAGUCUCAACUUUUCUUACCGUUCAAACUUUAUUUUACUUUAUCUAAAAAGUACACUUUAGAUAAGAUUCUGAUGGUUGAAUCUUGGAGGUAGGAUGCUAAUUUCAUAGUACAUUGAGAUUGAUCUUAAAAGAAGACAAAUUUACUUUAAAGACAGUGUUCUAUUGCACCUCGAUGACACUAAUCUAACAAGUGCCCUAAUUUCAAUUUUUAACAGUCCCAUUUAUACUAUUUUGGGCUUAAAUUAGUUCAUUUUUUUACCCCAAAGUUGAGAUGUAAGGAAAUAUAAAUAUGUUAAAUAUCAUUUCUAUCCCAAUAGUAGGUUGUAAGAAACUUAAGGCUAUUGUUCAUUCCCAAGUUCAAGGUGAAAAAAUUGAGAAGAAAAUUUGGAAAAAAAUAUUUUAAAUGAAAUUUUCUUUGGAAGAUUUUAAAGAAAAAAACUUAAAUUAUUUAGUAAUUUAUUUUCCUUAAAUUUUCAUUGGUUUCUUUUAGGAAAAUGGGAACAAAAAUAUUUUAAUAUUUUCUCAUUUUCUUUCUUUAUGUUAUAUAUGUUUGGUUUUCUAUUUAUUUAUUUAUUUAUUUAUUUUGAAGAAAAAUAUGAGAAAAAAUAGAGAGAAAAAUAAAAAAGAAAAAAGAAAAAAGAUAAUAAAAAAUAAAAAUAGAUUUAAAAUCAAUAUAUUAGUAUUUUAUACUACUUCAAACUCAUUCCCCUUAUUUUAAUUCUUUUAUAUAAAGAUUAAAUGUAAAAGUAUAUAAGUUUUUAACUAAUUUUAAUUAUAUAUGAUUUUUUUUUCACAUUUUUAACAAUAAAAUAUAUAUGAGAAAAUCAUUUUCCAAGUUCCAUUUGAUUCCAAUUGCUAAAAACAAUAUUAAAAAAUGAUUUGUUUUUUUUUUAAUAUUUUGUUAUACUACGAAAAUAUCAUUAAAGUAUAAUGCAACCUUGAUAAAUUAUACUAAAAAAAUUUUGAAGACUUUGAUAAAUAAUAUUUUUUGUCGGUUUUGGGGUCAUCGUGUUCAAUUAAUAAUUCAAUAAAUUUAUUAGAUGAUACAGUAUAGAAAAAAGCGUAAUUUCGUAUAAGACUCACUUACUAUAUAAAUUAAUAAUUUUUUAAUAUGUAACUAAAUCCAUAUGAUUUAUUUAGGAAACGUUUGUAAAAUAUGUAUAAUGUUACUUGUUUAAAUAAAUAAGUGUUAUAUAUUUCAAAAAAUGAAUACUUUGAAAAAUACUUAACUUACCACUUAAAUUAAAUUAUUAAAUUACUUUAAAUUAUUAAAUUAGUUUACCUAACAUCCACUAAAUCUAUUGUUUAUUUUUACCCGUAAUUUUUUCUCAACAUGGUAUAUUUCAUUGCCGUAAUGGGUAGUCACCCAUUGGAAUUGGAAAAUAUAUAUAUAUAUAUAUAUAUAUAUAUAUAUAUAUAUAUUCAUUAUUUUUGUACUCAUAAUCUCUGCAUACGGUGGCACCUCCUUUCGAGAGCACAAGUGAGUCCAAGCCUUCACUGUAAAAAGUAAAAACGCACCACCACGAUGACAUUAUUUCCUCACCAAGAUCAUCAAACUUCUGCGCGUAGCACGAACCAUUCUCACCACCUGUUUGACCAAAUUCCCCACCCAGUCAUAACCCUAAAAGAUUGCAGAGAUUUUCGAAGGGCAACUGAUUUAAAUAGAAAAAUAUAUAUGUAACAUAGAAUAAACCCUAGGGAAACAAAACCAUGAUAAAAUUAUUUUUAUACCCUUCUUCCAACGCAUUUCAUUUAAGGUAUGUUUGGUUAUUGAAAAAUAUGAAAACAAAUAAGAGGGAAUGAAAAUACAGAAAAAAAAAAAAAGGAUAAAAUGAAAAAAAAUAAAAAAAAAUAAAUUAUUUUAUAUGCUCUUUUAAAUUUAUUUCAUUUAUUUUUCUUCAAUAAUUUAAAAAUGUAUAAAUUUCUUAUUAAUGUUAAUUAUAUAUAUUUUUUUUUUCAUAUUAAAAUCAAAUGUGAUAAAAAAAAAAUUCCUCAAUAUUUUUUUUCUUAGUAUUUUUGGAAACCAAAUAUAGCUUUACUUUUUUCUUUUAUAUAAAAAUUAAUUAAUUUGAAAAUACACAAGUCUCUUACUAAUUUUAAUUUUUGUUUUUUUCUUAUUUUUCUAGAUAAAUUAAACAUGACAAAAAUUUUCUCCCUAACAUUCUAUUCUUCCAUUUCUUAGCACCUUUGGCUAACCACCCAUGAACCAAAACAAACACCAUCUUCAUUCGCUGGCAAAUAAUGAGGAUUCAACAAGGAUUUCUCUCUUAUAUGUUCUUCAAAAAGAACCAAAAAAAACACUAAAACUAUGGAUUUUCAAAUUAUUUAAUCUUUAUAUCAAAAUAAAAAAUUUAAUAAAAUGAGAUGAAAAAAUACAUAUAAAACUAAUUUAUUAACUUUAAAUUUAAUUUUUAUUUUUAUUUUCUAUUUUCUUUCCAUCAAAAUUUUCAAGAAUCAAACAUAACAUAAAGAUUUUGGCCAAGGAUCAUUUGCAACGGAGCUAUAGUUCUCUUGAUGGUGCAAGCACAGUGUUUGGUAUGAAGAAACAAGGUUGGGGUUGGUUUGAAGAACAAAAUAUGAUCGAUAUAGUUAGGAAAAUAUCAAACACAAUAUUUUUUUCCUUAUAAACGAAGAAACUAGACUAUGAGUGCAUUUAAGAGUGAUUUUAGAAAACGUUUUUAAUAUUUCUAACACUUGAAUUAUAAAAAUUUUCGAGUAUUAGAAAUGUUAAAAACGCUUUGUAGAAUUACUAUCAAACAGACUCUAUAUCAAACCAAAUUCCCAAAUUCAUAAUCAUUCAUGUGAUAUAUGUAUAUAUAGAUAAUUCAACUUAGUCUAACCCGCAGUGACGUUUAAUUAAUCAUGCAAAGCUUAGAACAAGAAAAUGAAGAAAAAUUAGAGAAACAAAGAAACUGGAUACAAGUAAUAUCACCAUCUUAGGAACCCUUUUGGAAAGACCUAUAAAAUACAUAGACCACAAUUUACAAGUAUAUCAGCAAACAGUUUGUGGCGAAAUAACUAUUGUGAAUUUCUCCCAGUUGAUGAACAAUACCAAUACCAGGAGUCAUGACCCGAGUUCUGAAAUGAAAUAACUAAAAAAGAAUCAAUUUCCUAAAAUGAGAUGUAAGCCAACAUUAAUAGCAAACACAAGCUGCUUCUGGUACAAGAGCUUGAUGUCACAAGAUGCUUCAAAUGACCCUCCCCAUGGCUUAUAUAGGAGGUGAGAAGCUUCUAGAGACCCUUGGAGACAUCCACACUUAGCCACUAGUGGGAAGAGUGUGGAAGGUUCUAGAAAUGCCUAGAGAAGUCCACACAACUCUACACUAUGGUAGAAGGCAUGAGAAGGGUCCAAAGCUUUCUAGAGAAAUCUAGAAGUCUCUUGAAUAUUCUAGAAUAGUGUAGGACAUUCUAUAAUAUUCAUGAAUUGUAAGGAACCCUCCAAGGUUCUAGAGAGUUCCAUUGGUGCCUAUAAAUAGGUGAGGGCCUCAUUUGGCCAAGGCACCAAGCAAGUGAGCAUCCAAGCACUUGUAAAGGCUUUCUUGAGAUAAUAAAGCUUCCAUUCUUUAAGGAGUUGCCUACUAAGCUCUUAAGCUUUCGAGUCGCGAGUGUCUUAGCCGAGCAAGCUAAGCAUUGGGGAUCAAGGCUGACUUAGCAAGAUCAAGCGUCUUGACUUGCCUAAGUGUCGCACGAGCUUAGUGAACGACUAAGUCCGUGACAAGUGGUAUCAGAGCGCGGUUACGAGGUGGGCAUAGCAAAGGAAGCAUGUCAGGUUCCAACGUGGAGGAGACUAGUGAGCAAACCCGUGGGAGGGAGACCGAGCCUACUGCACGGGGCAGGGGCAGGAAGGAUAAAUCUCGUGAUGCCGUUGCCAACAUGGAGGCAAGGUUAGCCAAGGUGGAGCUAGCCAUGGCGAACACUCGGGAGGGGUUGGACUUGAUCGAACAAGGCAUGGAGAAGGGCUUAGAGGAUCUAAGGGAGCAGAUCCAAGACCUUCGUGAGAGGGUGCUAGUCUCACAAGUUCAGCCAGUGUCGCACGAGGAGUUUGUGUCCUUCCAAGGAAAGGUCUUGAGCAUGCUUGCUAGCAUGGAGUCAAGGAUAGAGGCCUUGGCCAUUCGAAUGGAGUCCCGAGACCAGGAAGUUAGGCAAGAGUUGGCCAUCUACAAGGCUGCUGUGUCGGCACGGGUCAUGGCCACACAGGAGGCAUCUAGGGUGGAGGUGCCGAAGCCACACAGGUUUAGUGGCAAGCGGGAUGCCAAGGAGUUGGAUAACUUCUUAUGGCAUAUGGAGCGAUACUUCGAAGCUAUCGCAUUGACGGAUGAGGCGACUAAGGUAAGAACUGCCACUCUCUACCUUACUGACACAGCUACUCUAUGGUGGCGUCGAAGGUUUGCCGAUAUGGAGAAAGGCAUUUGCACCAUAGAGAUGUGGGAGGACUUCAAGAGGGAGAUCAAGAGGCAGUUCUAUCCCGAGGACGUGGCUUACCUGGCUAGGAAAAACAUGCGGCGUCUUAAGCACACAGGCUCAAUACGCGACUAUGUCAAGGAAUUCUCUUCGCUCAUGCUUGAGAUUCCUAACAUGACUCAGGAGGAGUUGCUAUUCAACUUCAUGGAUAACCUGCAAGGGUGGGCCGAGCAGGAAUUAAGGCGCCGAGGCGUACAAGACUUAGCCACUGCUAUGGCAAUAGCAGAAUCCUUAACAGAUUAUAAGAGGGAAGACUCCUCCAAGAUUGAGUCUUUGGAGGAUAGCCACGCCAUGGGUGGGGGAGACGAGGUUCCAAGGGACCACAAUGCUCCUAAAAAGGGAUCAGGCAAGACGUCUAAUGUCCGAGAAGGAAGGGGUAAGGUGGAAAGGAAGGAGUUUACGCCUAAAAUCAAAUGCUUCCUGUGUGACGGUCCACAUUGGGCACGGGAUUGUCCAAAGAGGAAGGCGCUUAGUGCCAUGAUCGAGGAGAGGGAGCAGGAGGACGAAGCACAUAUGGGCUCAAUGCAGCUACUAGGUGCCCUCCAAUUCAACCCGAAGCCUAGCACGCCUAAGACCUCCUUACUAGCAGGGGUGCAAGUAAAGGAGGAAAAAGGGGAGCGAGCUGAGGUAGCUCGCACACACAUGGAAGAGGUCACCGAGGGAAAGGUGAACUCAAUGGGUAAGAGGAAGCAACACUCUAAGCGUCGAAAGUGCACGGGUUUGCAUCCUUCUGAAGCCUCACGAGAGAAGGAGGUGAAGAAUAUCCUGGCUGAACGGGUCACCAGGAGACAAGGGGUCCCUCCUGUGACAGAGUAUCUAGUCCAAUGGAAAGGACUACCUAAGAGGCAGGUAAGCUGGGAACAUGCGGAUGCCUUGAGAAGGUUCUGGAAACACAUCGAGAGGUUUCAGAAAGAGGCAACGACGAGGACGUCGAUGGCUUAGGUGGGGGAGAGUGUCACAAGAUGCUUCAAAUGACCCUCCCCAUGGCUUAUAUAGGAGGUGAGAAGCUUCUAGAGACCCUUGGAGACAUCCACACUUAGCCACUAGUGGGAAGAGUGUGGAAGGUUCUAGAAAUGCCUAGAGAAGUCCACACAACUCUACACUAUGGUAGAAGGCAUGAGAAGGGUCCAAAGCUUUCUAGAGAAAUCUAGAAGUCUCUUGAAUAUUCUAGAAUAGUGUAGGACAUUCUAGAAGUCUCUUGAAUAUUCUAGAAUAGUGUAGGACAUUCUAGAAUAUUCAUGAAUUGUAAGGAACCCUCCAAGGUUCUAGAGAGUUCCAUUGGUGCCUAUAAAUAGGUGAGGGCCUCAUUUGGCCAAGGCACCAAGCAAGUGAGCAUCCAAGCACUUGUAAAGGCUUUCUUGAGAUAAUAAAGCUUCCAUUCUUUAAGGAGUUGCCUACUAAGCUCUUAAGCUUUCGAGUCGCAAGUGUCUUAACUGAGCAAGCUAAGCAUUGGGGAUCAAGGCUGACUUAGCAAGAUCAAGCGUCUUGACUUGCCUAAGUGCCGCACGAGCUUAGUGAACGACUAAGUCCGUGACAUUAAGCAUUCAUUAUUCUACAAAUCUACGAAUCUGUUGCCUCAUUAUUAUCAAGGUUACCAGAAUUGCAUGUCCGAUGUGUUAAAACAAACUUGAAGUCCUGAAAAUAGCCUUCACCAGAUAAUCAUCAGAAAGAAAUCUCUUUGCCGAAACCUUUUCAUAUGCUUCCAAGCCAUUUGUAUCACCGAUCAAGCGCCACAUGAGAAGUCAUGCAGAAGUUUUUAUUCCUCCUUGAAGACAAUGAAAAUAGGCUGGAAAAUUUUCAAUUCUUACAAGCAGGGAAUAGAUGCCAAUUGAGCCAAAUCUUGAUCAGUCAUUGUCAAAAAUCAUUGAAUAAUCUAACCCCCCUCUCCCUUGGCUCGGCCAAAGUCCUUCGGUGUACAUCUUUUGUUAUGCUAUUCACUUGUAUCUCCCUGGCGUACAUCUUCAUUUUUCUAUCCACAAAAUUCUACUUUUUUCCCAGCAACAAAUCUAGCAGUGGGGUUAAAUCUCCUAAAUUCCAAUAUAAGCAUUAUGCAGGUAGUAUCAAUCUUCCCGUAGGCCUAUGAACUACUAACACCCAUCAAGAGAUCAUUCAGUAUGGGGCUUGGUCCCAAGAUCUACCCUUGGUUUAGCAGAAAGCCCUUUUGCUAACAUCUCUUCCUCAUACUUCCGAGCCAAAUCUACCAUACCCUUCUGCACUAAAGCAUCAAUAAGAGCAUUAUAUGCACACGCAUCCGGACUACACCCUUGUUCUUCCAUCUUCUUCCAAACGAUAAAAACAGGUCGAAGAAAUCCCCACCUCCCAAACUUCUUCAUAAGCAUCACGUAAGUGUCCAUCCUAGGCCUAACCCCACUAUUGAUCAUCCUAUCAAAUGUCCUAAGAAUCUGUUUAGGCUUCUCAAUACACCCGAAAAAGCAGUGAUAAGUAAUCACGUUUGGUGCAUAACCCUUCUCACGCAUUUGAUCGAACACCCCAUAGGCUUCUCUAAUUCUCCCAUUUUCACACAACAGCUUGAUAAUUGUAUUGUAAGUCACAACAUUGGGCUCACAACCCACCUCUUUCAUCUCGCGAAAUACCCGAAUUGAAAAAUCGACACCCUCGGAAAGACCAAUGGCACGAAUGACCGUGUUAUACGCCACAACAUCCAGCCUAAUUCCCUUCUUCUUCAUCUCCUUAUACAAUUUCACGGCCCUCCAUGGCUUCCCACUCUUGCACUGUAUAUCCAUAUAUAUCGAAUAAGAAUAUAGACUUUUACAAACACCUCUCCUAUCCAUCUCUUCCCAAAACUCCCUACACUUCUUCCACCACCCCAUUUUGAACCACCCACGAAGAAUAAUGUUAUAAAUUUUCACAUCAUCGUUAAAAACCAAGUCUUUGCUCUCUUUUAGGAACAAUUCUUCAGCUUCUAUUACAUGCUUAUACUCACAAAGCGCGUCAAUCAAAUUCGAAUACGAAGUUUCAUCCCUCAGAUUAAACUCCUCAGUUCUAUAAUAAGCAUUCAUCGCUUCUUCAACUAGAUGCGCCGCUGCAUAGCGCUUGAACACGAAACGAAAAGUGACAUGGUUGGGGUACGCAACUGGGUCUGCUUUCAUGCGUUGGAUCAAAACCCAUAUGAGAUCGAAUUCGAAAAACUUGCCCAGAAUGUCAAUCAUGCCAUUGUAGGUAUCAGUGGUGUGAUUGAAGCCGCAUUGGGUUUGAACCCAAUCGAAGAACUCGAGUGCGCGUUUCCAGUCAUUGGCGUAGCAGGAGAGAGUUUGGCGCACAGUGGAGUGGUCAAAACUGGUUGAAUUUGGGGAGAUUAUAGGGUUUGAUAGAGGCUCUGGUUCAAUGGGUUUGAAGGGUUUUGUGGAAAAGGAUUGAGUGAAUGGAUAAAGAAGAGUUUGAAUGCAUCGAAACGAAUUGCGGUGCCGAGGAGAGAUCAAAGAAAGCAUUGCCAAUGUAAUGACUUUGCACUCUGAUUCUCUUUCAUGUGUAGUUUCUUCGAAGCGACUGAGCAGUGGCAAAGAGAUUCGGAUUUUUUAAUAAAUAAAUGUACAGUAAUUUCUAUUUUUUUAUCAAUAUCAAAAUUUUCAUUAGUUGUCUCAAAUAAAUAUGAUAAAGCUAAAUAUUUUUUUGCUGGAGUUUCAGACUUUUUUUCUUUCUCAGAAUUUUUUUUGGGUGGACUGAAAUAUUGCCCCAUUUUGUUUAUACAUAAAAUUAAAUAAAAAUAAUUUAAUUUCAAUUAUUUUCCUUUCAUUUAAAAUGAAAUAUUAGUUUAUUUCUCAUAAAAAGAAAAUAAAAAAUUAUAAAAAAUAUGUACUUAUAAAUCUUAUUUGUUUUAGUAUGGGUAAAAUUCUAAAUUAAAAAACAAAAGAAAAUUAAACAAGGCAAAGUGGAGUAAAUGUGGGGAAUUUCCCCUUGACUCCCCUUGCAUCUCUUCAAUUAAUUUAACUUUAGAAUGGGGAUGAAAGUUUAUUUAAAUAAUGAAAAAACUUGCCUUGAACUUUUUUUUUUUUUUACUUCUCUAUGUAGUCUAUAAACCAUUAAUAAAUAUAGCAUCUUGUGUUAAUUAAGGGUAAGGGUUUAUGAUUUAGAGUUUAAGGUUUAAAACUUAUGAUUUAGGGCUUAGGGUUUAUUGUUCAAAAUUCAAGGUUUAGUUAUAGGUUUAGGAUUAAGGGUUCAAGUUUUGAUUUUAAGGCGACAAGAGCACCACAAAAAAAGGACAGAGAUAUCACUGACGGUAGAGGUAGCAGCAUCUAAGCUAGUAUCUGGGCCAGUUGGCUUCGUCAACUCAACAAUUGAAGUAGUUGAUCUUGAACCAAUUUGUUCAUCAAUUGCCCCAUUACCCGGUAAACUCUCCUGGAUCAAUAGCAUUGGAUCGGGAAUGUGGCCAUUUCAUUAUAGCCCAUUGAUCCAUGAAAAAUAGAGACUCUUCGACUAAGACAUUGCCUUUCUAUUUGUAGAUUGUUCACAUUUCACUGGCCAGGUUUGAAACUCUCUUCACUUCGCCCCAUCAUGCAAGAUAUAGGAGAUUAGGAAAAAUAAAAUUGUCAGUCUAGACUGGGAAAUGAAAUUCAUAGAGCCCCCAAGUGUUUUCGUUGUGGAUUGCCAGCUCCACGCUAACAUGCUACUAAAAUUUAGGUAACACGAGAGAUGGGUAUGAGUUGGUCAUCCAAGCAACUAACCUGGUAGGUUAGUCGGGUUGGUUCUCCCCGUCUAUGAAGUCGCAUUUGACUCACCACCAGCAUAUGAAUCAAAGUAGUAGAAAUUUCAGUUUCAGUGUGGAAAAUUCUAGCAGUAGUUUCCCCUUCUUUCCUUUCCAGGUUUAAGGGUGUCGGCUCUAGAUAGAUUGGUUACCAAACUUCAACCAUGUCUGAUACCAACUGCAACAAAGACCCCAUACUUACUUAUAUUUGAAGUAAUGUGACCUUUCCUAAGCUAGUCUUAACUUAAUUUGUUCCUAGGGGUCAUAUACAAUGCACAUCAAGACUGGGAUGAUCUCCAUCGACAUUCAAUAUUUCUUCAGAUUCAGGUAAAACAGGUCGAAUGCUCACUCUUGGUUUACUCACCGACAACACAGAGUUGUGCUUCACCUCUAAGAAUCCUUGCAGCUUCCUUCACUUAUCUAACUUGGUUCACUACAAAUGUGACCUUGUUAAAUGGCAACUGCUUUCCAGGUUCAAAAACUCGUUGAUUUUGCCAACACCACAACCACCAACAUCCCAAAGUAAAUAACACAUUCCACUCAAGAGGAAUGCCCUCAAUUUCCCUCCUCAUCACGUUUUUGGUCAACCAUUCUCUACACUCCCCCGAGAAAAACUCAUUCCAUUUAUUCCCAGGAAGCAAAACCUGCCAAAAUGUCAUUACAUGAGGGCAAUCUCGCAACACAUGCAUUGCGUCUUCAAGACUACCAUUGCAACCUUCACAUCUACUAUCACUAGCCAACCCUCUUUUAACCCUGUUACCAUUGGUCAUUAAUCUAUCCCUAGAUGCUAGCCAAAGGAAAACUCAUACUCGUUAGGGUACUUUGACUUUCCAAACAUGCCGCCACCCUUUGUCUUCCAUUUCCUCAUCUAACCCGGCCAGCAUUCCAUAGGUUGACUUCAUCGUAAAAUUCCCAUCAACCACCAAAGAUCUUAAUGGUAGAAAUAUGCAUCAAUAUCUUAGUCGGGAUUAAGUGCUCGAAUUCGGGCCAUCUCCACUCUCUAUUCUCUCCCUAGUAAUCCGCAACAAGCUUAGUGGAAAUAUAUUGGUCUAUGGGAGCAAUUGCCAACUUUAUAAGAGGUUUAUAAAUAAUCCACCUAUCUGUCUAGAAAUGCACCGACUUCCCAUCACCAAGAAUCCAACUAGCACCCUUUUGCACAUUCCCCAAAAUUUCAUACAAACCUUUCCAAACAUGAGAAGGACCAACUCUCAAUGUUGCUAGGUUCACGCCCAAUUGAUCUAUACCAUAUUUCUCUUUAAGCACUCUAACCCAAAGUAUAUCAUUAAGAUAUGCCUCCAACCAAGCUUUGCAAGAGCGGCCUUAUUGUCUUAGCCUUACGUAAUCCCAAGCCUCCCAUACCCUUCGGUUUACAUAUAUCAUCCCAUGAGACCAUAUGCACUCUUCGUCGUUCCUCAUUGUCACCCCAUAGAAAGGCCUUAGACUUUCUAUCCAACUUCUCACAAACUAAGUUUGGCAUCUUUAAGCUUUGCAUGGUGUAUAAAGGAAUAGCCUGCACUACCAAUUGUGUUAAAGUAAUCCUCCCUACCAUGGAGAGAAGCUUCAAUUUCCACCCCACUAGUUUGGGCUACGCCCCUUAUCAAUUACCUCUUUACAAGCUUUCUUGUUUACCCUCUCAUGUAAGAUAUUUACCCUAAGGUUUUUUCCCAAGAUUUUUUGUGAGAGGUAUCCCUGCCUUUCUACUGAUUGAGUUUGAUAGUCUAGUUGACACAUUCGUUGAGCAAAAAAUUUUAAACUUCAACAAGCUCACCUUUUAGCUCGAUGCCAUACAAAACUCUUCCAUACAAUCCCUACUCCCACCUAUUCCGUAGAUGCCUCGGCAAGCAAAAUAAGAUCAUCCAUGAAAAAUAGAUGAAAGAGUCGAAGGCCUUUUUUAGAAAGAUUAAUAGGAUGCCACUUCUUGCUUUGCACCGAAACUUCAAUUCUGCAAGCAAGUCUUUCCAUGGAAAACACAAAUAUAUAAGGAGACAAAAUAACCUUGCCUAUUUUCCCUAUAUGGAAAAAGCUCUCUGUUUUUCCCCAUUCCACAUUACUUGCAUGGAUGAAGAGGUGAUGCAUGACAUAAUUAAAGCAACAAAAUCCUCUGGGAGUUGAACUGCAUGGAGCGUAUCUCUAAGAAAAUUUCAUCUCAACCUAUCAUAUGUUUUUUUAAGAUAAACUUUCACCGCAAGCAUUCAUCUCUUUCCCUUAUUUAUUCACAUAAAAUGAAUCACCUCCUGCAUAAUAACUAUGUUAUCAAUUAUUUGGCGUCCAAGUAUAAAGCUACACUGUGUGGGUAUAAUGAUAGUAGGCAGCAGAGUCUUCAACCGAUCCACGAUCACCUUAGUAAUGGUCUUGUAGGAGACAUUACAUAGGCUUAUGGGCCGCAACUGGGUAAGACUUUUUGGAUGGGGGACCUUUGGAAUCAACUUGAUCAAAGUAUGAUUAAUCCCUUAAGGCAAGCUUUUAUCACGGAAAGCCUUCAACACCAUACAACACAAAGAGGAACCAACUACAUCCCAAAAUUUUUGGUAAAAAUGUGAUUGAAAUCCAUCGUCUCCAAGUGCUUUGUAUGCUCCCAUAGAAAAAAAACACAUCCUUUACAUCCCUAGGAGUCAUUGGCUUCAUCAAAGAAGUAAUUUGCUCAUUAGUAAGACAAAAGAAAUAAUUGACACAGUUAACAGGCAUACCUCGAUUUCCCUCGUCUGUAUAGAGUUUUUGAAAAAAAUUGAACCACCAUAUUCUUAAACAGGUUUACAUCCAUGAUCCAACUUUCAUUAUCCCCCUUUAAGCUUCCAAUCCCUUUUUUUUUUUCUCUCGGAUGAGAGUAAACAUGUGCCAAAAUUUCGAGUUACAAUCACCAAAUUUAAUCAAGCCAUGAUGAAAUUUCAAGUUACAAAUUUCAAAUUUUAACCAAUAAGUGCAAGAAGACAAGUUUUUUUCACCUUUAAGUGGGCAAUCAAGCCAUGUGCAAAGAGAAAAUGUUGGAAUUAUGAUAUCAUGAUGAACUUAUAUGUUUGAAUCACCAACCUGCUUACGCAGAUAUUGAACCAACCAAUGGAGGGCAAUGGGGGAGAGAGGGAGAGGAAUGUGGGAGACUUGUUAAAGCAUGUAGAAUCUAGCCAACUAUUUCAUGCCUCAAGAUGAUUGAGAUCAUCUGCAUUAUGUGCACAAACAAUGAUUGAAUUCUCUACUGUUAUAGUCAUAUCCUCAAGCUCUUCAAAGUCAUUAUCCUGUCCAAAAAAAAUAAAGAAAAACAUAUGUUAUUCUAGCAUCACAAGUCAAAAGACAAUUUCAUUGCUGAAAAUGGUAUUCUAAAGUCCCUCAAACUCAUAUCACUAUCCUUCAAGUAUGGAUCCAUUUCACUACUUUGGGUAGUAGGUGUCUCCAAGGCCCUUGCUAAAUAACUCAAUGCUUGAGUUACAAAUGACAAAACAAAAUUUUCACAAACAAUUUAUGUUAUAAAAAAGUCACAAUGUAGAACUGCUUCCAGAUCAUUUCACAAACAAUUUGCUCAUGUAUCAUCCUGCUUGUUAGCAUCAUAUAAAGACAAUUUCUAUUGGAUAUAGCUAUUUGUGCAAGUAUUUUACAAUUAAGAAGUAACUGCCUCUUAUACAGAUCGUGUAUAAAUCUACUAUAACUAUAAGAUGCCCCAUUCUUGUGAAUUACUACAUUAUCACGAAGUUUGGUAUUUCCUCGCUCUUAAUUUGCUAUGCUACACUUAGCUUACUAUACUAAGUAAUGCUACACAAUUCGACAGAUAGGAUAUGCAACAAAGGUAAACUUAAGAAAAGAAGUUUUAUAUUGCACGAGGAAGCUUUACAAUGAUAGAAAACUCUUAACUUGCUUAGUGUCUUGUCCAAAUGAGACACCUCUUAUUUAUAGGCAACUAAGGAACUCUCUAAACCCACAAAGGUUUCUUACAACUCCAAAAUUCUUUAGAACAUCCUACACAAGUCUUAUGUGCAAGAUGACUUUGGAACACUCUAAAAUGCCCCACAUUCUUCCCUUGUCUUCCAACCUUAUGUAAAGAUUUGUGGACAUCUUUAGGCUCCUCUUGAAUAUUCCACAAUCUUCCAUUAGUAGAGAAGUGUGGAUUGCUUCAGGAGGUUCUAAAAGCUGCCUACUUUAGGAGGUUCCAACAGUUUCCCACUCUCUUAUCUCAAGGGAAGUCAUUUGAGCAAGUUGUGACAAUGAGCUUUUUGCAUACCUUUUAGUUAAUUUGGUUUUCUAAGGGAUGAUUUCUGUUUUGUUUAAGUAAAUUGAAUAUUUUUUUUGUGGAUUGCAAUUAAUGAUUAUUUUAAUUGGUUUGCUUUUCUAGGGUUUUUUAUUUUAUUUUUUGUUUGUAAGCACUUAAAGAAAAAUUAUUCAAAGAAUUACCCGUAAAAACUUCAAAUUGGGGUAAAAGCAUUGGCGGUUAUGCCCAAUAUUUGAAAAAUCGAAAAAUAUCACCAAAAUAUCAACGAAAAAUCAGUUAUCGAUGAUGGCCAAAAUGAAAUCGACCAUUGAUUAUGGAUCGGGUGAAAAAUCAUCUAAAUAUUGGCAAAAUUGCCGAUAUAUUGAUAGAAAAUCGAAGAAUUGGUGAUAAAAUUGAGCAUGGAGACAACUCACGGGUAAGGAGGAAAAUGUUGGGAUAUAUCGCCGAGAUAUCGUGUAUCGGGAGGGGUCGACAUGAUAUUUUGUGGAGAAAAAUCGGAGGGGAGAAAUUUCUACAAAAAUUGCCAAAAAAAUCGCUGAUAUAUCAGCUUCAGGCGAUAAAUCGCCAAUAUAAUGGAAAAAAAACGGCCAAAAAGGAUGAAAAUCACCGAUAUUUCGACAAUUUUUCGAUCGGUCAAUGCGCUACAGUGCACUCUAAAAAUUUCCUUUUUUUUGUGAUGUUGAAGGGAUUUAAAUGGGGUUCAACACAUCCGACCACCAAGGCAAGUUUGCCCUUUAUUAAGUAAAUUGCACUUAAAAUAUAUAUUCAAAGUUAUCAUGUAAAGAAAAUUUUAGAGAGCAAAUUAAAUAUAAUUAUUUUAUAAUUAAAUACUAAAAUUUCUUUUAAUUGAUUACCAAAAAUAUAAAAAUUAUCAUAAUAAUUUUCUUCAUAGUGUUUUCAAUAUCAUUAAUGAAUUAAUUAAAUAUUAAAAAAUUGUACAUAUAUCAUAAUUUAUUUUAUAUUAUUUAAUAUAAUUGAAUUAAAUGGAUCAUAAUUUUAAUAUUAAUAUAUAUUUUUAAGUUAGACAUAUUAUAAUCAAAUAUCAUAAUAUUAUUAUGAAAUAAUAUUUGAUAUAAUUUAAUAAUAAAUGUACACUUAUAAAAUUCAUAUUUUUAUUGAUGCAUACAAUAUUAUUAUCAAAUAUAAUAAAUCAUAUUAUACAUAUAUCAAAUUCUUUAAUAAAACAACUUUAAAAUAUCUAUUAUACUUCUAAUUACAUUUUUAUGAAACUUUUCUUCUAUUUUUAUAAAUUUUGAUCAAUUUUAGGUUUAUCGAUAUUUUUUUUACAAAAUAUCCCCGAUAUAUCCCAUAUAUCUGUCAUCCUUCCUCACGCGUGGGGUAUGGAAAUAAAAAAUCAUCCAUUUUUUUACUACUUUUCAAAAAACACCAUUUUUUUUAUAAAUAUUUAUCCUAUUUUUUAUUUUUUUUAUUCAUUUUUAAUUUAUCUUUUAUUUAUAUUUAUAUUAUCAUUUUAUUUUAUAUUAUCCUUUUAUUUUUAACUACUUUUCAUAUUUAUCUCAAUAUUCCUAUUUUAAAAAAUUACUAUCACUUCACUCUUAAUUAUUUUAUUUAUCCUUUUAAUUUUAUUUAAAUUUAAAUUUGUUAUUUUAAAAUAUUAAAAAUAUAAUUUUACUGAAAAAUUACUACAAUAUAAAAAAAAUUAAUGAAGUUCUAAUAUUUUAUAAAUUAAAAUUAAUUUGAUAAGAUAAAUUAUUAAUAAUUUUAAUUAUUUAAAUAAAUUAAUGUUAAUAGAAAAAGUUGUUACCACAAAUUUGUAAUAAAAUUUUAGAAAUUAAAUCUCAAAUGAAAUAUUUUUUAUAAAUCAAUAAUUUUUUAUUUAAAAUAUAAUAAAACAUGUUUUGAUAAAAAAUAUUUUUAAAAUUUUUAAAAUAAAUGAAUAUAAGUAAAUUGAAGGAAUUUAAACUAAUUUUUAUAAAAAUUUGAUAAAUAUUAUCUUUAAUCAUACUUAUAUCAAUUACAUUUACAAAAUAACUUUAAUACGUAUAUUCUUAUUUAUUUUAUCAAAUUUUUUAAGUUUUUUUUAAGUAUUUUCAUUAAUUUUGUAUCAUUUAUGUUAUAUCGAUAUUUUUGGUUAAAAUAUUCAUCGAUGUUUCUUCGAUAUUUCUGACAUAUCCAUAAAAUCCAAAUACCGAUAUACCUUGAUUUACCGAAAUUUCAAAUCUUUGGUUGUACCCAACAAAAGUAGGAUUCAUCCCCUUGUGACAAUGCAGGUCCUGCACCGGUAGUAAGUGGGUCUAAGCGUGAUGGUUAUUUUUUACCAUUUUCAUCAACUACAUAUCCUUCACACUAAGUGUCAUAAAAUGAUUGAAGAUUUUGCUGUCUAAAAAUGACCCCAAACAAAUUAAUGAGGUCCAGCAACCAACAGGCUGAUGGCUAAUUUCUUCCUUGGAAAUAUCUUCACAUCUAAGCUCUUCAAAUGCAGGUGACCAGAUGGUUUUCUUAAUCGUGAAUGUGGUUGAGGCAAUCGGAGUGCUCAUGACAUUCAAACCAUUUCUAGUUCAAAGGCGUCGAUAGAGGAAAAUCAGUCUGAUUCAACUCCAGGCCGUGAAGAUUAUCACCUCGAUCAGUAUGACUCUUUGGUAGCAUUGCACCUGUCUCCAUUCAUUAUAGGGACGAUAACUUGCAUCCUGUAGUAACCCUUUUGGGGGGGUAUAUUAGAUCAACAACAAUGUGCCCUGUAUCUACUGCAUUUUGUACACCAGUAAAUUACUGCCUACCUGCAUAUUGUUGGACAUAUUUGGUUACCAAUAGGCAGUUCAUGAGUUAGCAAAACUCUUGUUUGAUGUCUAAUACCUUUUUUGUUUCACUUAAUAUGGGGCAGCUCUUGAUGAAUGUUUGUGAACAUGAUUUUAUCAUCUUCAUUUAAUUAGUUACAUUAUGUAUAGUCUUAAUUGAAAUCUAAAAUCAUGAAACCUAUCUUUCAUGUUCUUUCUAACUGAAUAUUUGCUAGAAGAAAAUUUCAAAAAGAAACCAUCAACUAAAUAUCGGUAAUCAACACUAACUACAAGAUAUUUACCGCUCGUUGUUUGAUUAACUUUUUUCUAAUUCUAUAAGUAUCUGAUUAGGUAACAACUAAUAAUUAUGUUUAGUGAUUGAAUGAGAAGAGAGUUAAGCAAAUCAAAGCAAGCCCUUGUUAUUUGAAAUAUUUUAAAGAUUUUUUAUUAUUUUGAUGUAUCUACUUGAUCUUUGGCUAGCUAGGUUCAAAAUAUUAGCUCAACUUCUACUUUGAAAGCCAGAUUUCAUAUAUGCAUAAUGGAAGUUUUGGAAGAUUAAUGUUAUUGUACUGGUACAGCUAGCUAGAUUAAGGUAGUAAUUUUAUUCCAAAAGCCCUUGAUCCAAACUACUUCUAAAAGGACUUAUUAGUUUUUAGAGCAAUCUUGAAAGUUCAAGGAAGUGAAGUAGAUCAAGAUAAAUAUAUAGUUUUGGAUUUAAUUAAAUGAAUAAAUUUAAUAAUUGAAUUUAACAUAAAAAGGAGUUUCCAAAGUUUAAGGAAGUUUAAACUUUUGUUUACUUUGCAGUUCCUACUUUUCAACUAUUCUAUGUUACUUAUACUUGUUUGGUUCUUGAAAAAUUUGAGGGAAACUAUGAAGGAAAGAUGAUUGGAGCCAAAAUAUGUGCUUCCAUAGCAUAUGUAUAAUAUGAUUUAUGCAAUAUAAAAAGCUCAAAUCAUCAAACUUAACUCAAAUUGGUGUUAAGACCUAAUUAUGGAUCUAACUGUUAUUUUGAGCCUAAUUUUAGAUUUAAGGGAUGAAAAAAAAAUGAUAAGUGUAGAAGUCAUUAUCAACCAAGGGAGUAAAAGGGGUUAAACAUGCAUAAUUGAGAGACCCGAGACUUGUGAACCAUGAAGAGUCCAAACAAGAGUGUGAUAAGCAACUUGAAAUACUAGCAAUGAAUGUUAUGAAGUGAGAUAGAGGGCAAACAACCAUAAUGGAGGAGGUUCGAAUAAAAUGCAAUCAAGUUCACAUGGGAAUUUAGAACUCAAAAUUUGGCAACAACACAUACUCUGACUUUGAGAUAAAAUUUAGAGCACUUCUCGAUGUCAAACUAAUAUAUGUGUAGAAUACUUAAAUUACCUUUCAAAUAAAAAUUAGGCUUUGUACAACUUAACAAAAAGAUGUUGGAAACUUAUGAAAAUUUGAUGCAAAAAGUGCUAAAUGUGUGCUUAUAGGCUAUUCACUCAAGCUAAAGUCCAUGGAGUUUUCCUUAAUGAAGGAAGAACAAGCUUCAAGAACAAUGACUAAAUCUUUAAAUGUAAUGAUAAAUGAUGUUUUUAGGAGAUGGUCUUCGUUGUGAAUUAGGAUAAAUUCCAAUUUCCAUCCAAAUCUAGAAUAAGUCUCAACUAUAUUAUCUUAACUAAGGGUAAUAAGUAGAUAGAGCUAAAAUCUAGUUUGGUAGAUGGAGGAAUCUGGUUUGGUAGAAUUGCUCCUUAUAUCUAACUUCUAGCAAUGCAUUUGGCUAGAUGGACCACUAAAUUUUGCUAGCCAACUUCAAUCUUUGAAGAUUCUCCCUAAUUUACUUCAACUCAACUGUCCAUAUGAUUUGUUCUCAAGAUUCCUAGCUCAUGAUUCGUUCUCAAGAUUACUAGCUCAUGGAUGAUAUAAAUAGCAUUUUCAUCUCGUUAAGAGGAGCUUUUGGUAGUCUUUUGUAUUUCUUUUCUAUUUUACGGUUUUUACCUUCUAUACUUUCUUUUUCUUGUAGAAACUCUAAGGUUAUGUUUGUUCCCAAAUUUUUUUAGGGAAAUUGAAGGGGAAAGAAGAUACAAAAGAAAUGUAGAAGGAAAGAAAAAAAAUGAAAAAAUAAAUAAAUAAAUAAAUUAAAACUCAAUAAAUUAUUUUUAUUUGUUACUUCAAGCUCGUUUUAUUUAUUUUAACUCAUUGACAUAAAGAUUAGAUAAUUUAAAAAUGUAUAAUUUUUUAAUUAAUUUUAAUUAUAUUUGUUUUUUUUAAUAUUUUUUUAUAGGACCACCAAAUAUGAGAAAAUCAUUUUCUAUAGUAUUUUUUUUUUCUUUCCUAAGUAUUUUACAGAAACCAAACAUACACUAAAAUCAUGCUUGAUUAAUUGAAUAUAACAUGUGAUAGGAUAAAAGAAGAAAUAUUAUAUCUUAUUUUAUAUUUGGUUGGUAUUAGGAUAAGAUAAGUUAUCCUAUCACUUAUUACAUAUAGGAUAAGAUAAAUAGUACAUGAUAUAUUCCACCUUUUUUUUUUAUAUAUUCAUUCUACAUAGAAUAUGUUAAUCUUAUGCUAAGAUAUAAGAUAUGCAAAUUUUAUGUAUCUUAAUUAAUUAAUUAUCUUAUAUUACUUAUUUCGCAAAAUAAAACUUUUAUUAUAAAAUUAAAUUUGAGAUUAAAAAAGAAAAAAUAAAAAUAUAUUAUAAAAUAAUAUUAAUAUAUGUAUUAUUUAAUAUAUAUAUAUAUAUAUAUAUAUAUUCAUCUAUGUAUAGAUGUAUGCAUGUAUAUUAUUUCUAUGUAUUGAAUAACACAAUAUAAACAAUUUUUGUUUAUAAAGUUUAAAUAUUUUAAACAUGAAUAUACUUAAACAUAAGAGAAAUUUUAUUUUUAAAAAUAAAGAAUAUUGGAAUGUAAUAUUCUUUUUUAUUUUAAACAUUGAAAAAUAAUACAUAUUCCAUAUAAUUUUUUUAUUCAUUUCACAAAUUAAAUAUGAACAUAACAUAACCUAUCAUAUCUCAUUGGACAUGAUACCUUAGGAUGUUAUAUCUAUAGAUAUAAUAUCUCAUUGGAAAUCAUAUCCUAAGACUGAUUCCAAUCUUCUUUUACAUUAGCAAAGGCACGUUAGCAUAUAUAUAAUAAGGGUCUUUUCUUGCUCGUUAGCACCCUUGUACCCCUAUUAUAUUUUUUUAGUCAUAAAGGAGCUAAAAGAAAUUGGACAACCUUACUAAGGGAAAGAUGCACUCAAGCAUGCAAAGAAAGCACUUUGAGCUUCCCUUCUCUUAUCGAAGGGGUGCUCUAUGAUCAAACUUCAAAUAUCUCAUAAAGUAGGGGCAUCAAAACUAAAGCUUGUAGUUUAGGGAUGCACAAGUGCUUAACGCCUCAUACAAGGGGUUAGCGCACAAUGGCUUUCUCUAAGAGGGGCUUACUUCUUCAAGCGGAGCUUGCUACUUUUCAUUUUGAUAGGAGUAGGUUCCUUCUUGUUCAGGGUCAUUAGAUGAGAGAUCUUCCUCCGACUCCAAGAAAUUGGUCAAGCGAGAGGCUACCCUCAACUCAUCUCUCUAUCUAUAAAAAAAAAACCCCUCCCCCAAGGAGAGUAGAAGCUCUGGAUGAGUAUGUCCUGGAUUUUUGGAUUCAUUCUCGUCCUAAUCCGUCAUGGAAUUUUCAGAAUCUACCAAAACAUUCUAGGAAAGGGCUUGUAAUGAUUUUCUCAAAGAUCACAAGGUGUUGAAGUGGCAGGAUAGGGAGAAUCUAUAGGUUUUUGUGAAAGAGAUGUUCUUAAUAUACACAUCAUAUCAUAUCCUAUCCUAUCUUGUCAACCAAAUGUAACAUAAAUCUUUGCAAAAACUAAGGAAAUCACCUAUCACCAUAAGUGUCUAGCUUUCUUCAAGGUUGAGUGAUGGAGGAUCUUGUAGGAGAACCUAUUUAGGUGAUAAUUGUAAUGAAUUUUCUUUGAAAUUUAGUGAAUCAAUUCAAGAUUUAAUCAUUUAGUUCUGAUUUUGGGCUUAUGAUUCAUGUUUCUUUUGCUUCAUACUUGGUUGCUGAUUGCUUGUUUUAUUCUCUUAAUAUUUAGGCAACUUAAUUUUGAUAUUUCAAUUACUUAAAUUUUAAUAAUAGAUUUAAUACAAUCAAUAGGUUAUUGGAUGAAAAUUGCUAUCAAAUUUUUGAGCCCUAGAUGUCCCUCAUGUAUAGGAGACUAAAUUAUAUUUGGGUCAUUCUUGUUGAAAAUCUCCCAUAAGCCACACUUAAGUAUUUAGUUUUGUGUGUUUGCUUAAGAAUCAUGAAAAAUCAGAUAAUGGACAGCAGACCAACAAGUGAAUCUAGGCCCUUUGUCAUUUUAUUAGGUUUUGAAUUUCUUAUGCUUUUGUUUGUUGCCAUCUAACCUUAUUUUGCUCUCUUUUUCAACCGAAAUUUUAACCAAUAUCCUAACAAUUUCACAAACAGCAACCGCUUGGUCAUUCUCACACACUCCAAAGUGUUACCUAACCUUCACUUUCUUGGGCAUGACACCCAAUAUUCACUGGAUUAUUACAAUCCGAACUUGUGCUUAGGGCUUGACAUACUAGUAUGAACAACUUAGUAACACAAGCAACAUGCAGGUCCUUGCUCUUUGAUGUUGGAUAUUCCAAUGUUGACGUGUUGAUUUCCCAUAAAUCAUAUUGAUAGGAGAGAGGAAAGAUAUGUAAGCAUGUUGAUUCACUAAGCCAUGACCUUUGGAUAAAUUCAAAGCCAUAAGUCAUUAUGACCAAGGAUGAAAAUAUCGGUAAUCACAGAUAUAUCGGUAAUUCGAUUUUACGGAUAUAUCGGAUAUAUCGGAGAUAUUUUUGGAUAUAUCGGAGAUAUAUCGACGGAUAUUAUUGGUAGGCUUAAAAUUGUUAAAAACUCAUGGAAAUGCAAGAAAAACCUCAUAAUAAUAUAAUUAGAAGUAUAAUAGACAUUUUAAAAUUGUUUUAUUGAAAAAUUUGAUAUAUAUAUGAUAUAAUUUGCGAUAUUAGAUGUAAUUAUAUCAUGUCGAUCUAUAUGAAAUGUUAAUUUCGUAAUUGUUCUCAUUAUAAAGUCACAUCAAAUACUUCAUUUCAUUAAAUAACAAUAAUUUGUACACAUUACAUUGCAAUAUCCCUUUAGUACCAAAAUGAGUUUCGAUGUGGUUCAAUGGGAUUGAUAGAUGAAGGAGCCUCAGCUUGCUGUUGGAGACAAUAUUGGUACCAAGUCAAUGAGCCUCGAUAAUAUUGGUUAUAAAUUCUAACAUGUCAUGCAUAUAUCUCUUGAGUCCUGCCUACUGCUUCUACAUGGAUAGGAUGCUCAAAGUUCACCCAUGUGUUAACGCCAAAUCCUUCUUCCAUCUAAUAUGGAAUUUGGUAUGGCAUUUGUCUGGAAGGGGAAUAAUGCGACAUACCAUACUCUUCAUCUGUUGAAUUUGAAGGUUGACCAUAACUCAUCACAUGAGGAGGGUAGACGUUAGCCUCAUUCGAGGAGUCACUAAAUUGAGUCCCUAUACUCAUAGAUUCAAAACUCCCUGAAAGUAACUCCUCGUUAUAUGGUUCCAUCAUUCGUUCUCUUCCUCUAUAAGGCCUCCCAAUAGCUCCUAUGCUUGGACCAGCUCUUCUAGAGCCAUGGUCUUCAUCCUGUGUGCAGUGUGUGAAAUCAUUUUCACAAGUAAAUUGAUUGAUUGGAUAUUGACUAUGUCGACUUUCAUCAAUAUCUCCUCCCCCAUUAUCACCUCCAUCAUCCGUUCCACCUCUUAAACCAUCGUAACCAGAAGUAGAAGCACCUGCAGCACUAGGUCUACUAUUAUGGCCAGCACUUGUGGAGUCAAUCUCUUGGUGGGAAUGCAAUGUCGCAUGAAGUGAAUCAUCAGUAUCUUUGCUAAAACUUUCAGAGUGAACUUCUUCGGACAACACACGUUCAACAUUAACUCCAAAUUCUCGAGCAUGAGCGGCAAUUCGUGGAUCAGGAUUUCCAACUUCGUCAUCCAAGUGUAUAGGCCUAACCCACUGGAACAAUUGAUUAUCUUCUUCUUCACCCACUUCGGCUGAAAUGUCAAGAAGAUCAAGGUAAUCUUUUUCAGCAACUCGAUNNNNNNNNNNNNNNNNNNNNNNNNNNNNNNNNNNNNNNNNNNNNNNNNNNNNNNNNNNNNNNNNNNNNNNNNNNNNNNNNNNNNNNNNNNNNNNNNNNNNUCAUAUUAUAGUAACAAAACACUAAUUGCUCCAAUCGAGGGUAAGCCAAACGAUUUCGUUGCUUUGUGUGAAUGAGAGCAAACGUGCUCCAAUUUCUCUCACAUGCAGAAGAUGACGCAGUUUGUGAGAGAACUUUGAUGGCUAACUUUCUCAAUGUAGGUGUUUGAUUCCCAUACAUAAACCACCAUUCAGCUGCAACGAAUUUGAUAAUCAUAUAAAUACUUAUGUGGUGAAUUUACAAUAAUAAUAAUCAUUUUUUUUCCUAUAAAGACUCACCGUGCACCAUGGUUGACCUUGAUGCAAUUGUUGUUCGAUCACCGAAUCCUCUUUUUGCAUCUCGAAAAAGUACAAGCUAUGUAUUCAACAUUUAAUUUGUUAGUAAACGUUCAAAUAAAUUGAUGAAUGAAAUUAUUGUUUUAUUGACAAAAAUAACAAUUUUUUAUUCACCUCAUUUCCAAAUUGACCAAGCGAUUCCGUAGUUGGAUCUAAUUUUGCAAAAACAUCAUGGACAGCUUGAAGCAGUUCCGGAUCACUACCAACUCCACGCCUAUAUUGAAAUCUUGGAUUCAAGAAGUAUGCUACAAUAAAAUUUAGUAGAGUUAGUAUAUUUUUUUUUAAAGAAACUUAAAUACAAAGUAAAAACUUAUAAAGAUAUAUAGUAUUUAAGUACCUGCUGCAUGAAGUGGAUGUUUUAGUGUUUUCUGCCAACGAUCUUGUAUUAUUUUAAACAUCCAAUCUCCAGCUCCUUGACGAAUAAGGUUCUCUUUCAUCACGUGCAUAAGCUCGUACACAAAUGGCAUUGUGGGAACAACUUUAGAAUCCACAAGUCGAAGCACCACAUAUAAUGGCUCAUAUAAUGAAACUAUAUUUGUCAAUCUGUCCCAAUACGUAUGGUCAAACAAUAAUUGCUCCAAUUCUUGUCCAAGUUUUGUUCGACUGAGUUUGUGUUGUGCCCAUUCAUCACUCAUAAACAAUUUUUUCAAAUCAACCCUUUUUUUGAGAAGACUGUCAAGAGCAAUAUAAUUGGUAGCAAACCUUGUAGUUCCUGGUCGAACAAUGUCUCCACCACAAUACUUUCUCAUUUGUGCUAGUAACCAACCAUGAUUGUAAAUGAAGUUAGUUAUCUUGCGAGCAUUGUUUAUCACCUCGAUAACAUUGGGUCUUUUACCGAUGUCUUCAAAGAUUAAGUCGAUGCAGUGUGCCGCACACGGAGUCCAAUAUAAAUUAUACUUCUUCAUCAAUUGUUUCCCUGCUUUCAUGAAUGUCGACCCAUUAUCUGUGACAAUUUGGACCGCAUUUUCCUUACCGACUUCUUUGAUAAUAGUCUUCAAAAGCUCAUAUAUAUACUUGUGGUCUUUGAUAUAGUUCGAUGCAUCGACUGACUUAAGGAACACCGUGGUCCCUUUAGAAUAAACCAUGAAAUUAAUAAUACUUAAUUUCGUGGGCCCUGUCCAUCCAUCUGACAUUAUUGUGCACUCAUAUGUCUUCCAUUUUUCCCUUUGUUGGUUCACAUAAGCUNNNNNNNNNNNNNNNNNNNNNNNNNNNNNNNNNNNNNNNNNNNNNNNNNNNNNNNNNNNNNNNNNNNNNNNNNNNNNNNNNNNNNNNNNNNNNNNNNNNNAAUUUGGACCGCAUUUUCCUUACCGACUUCUUUGAUAAUAGUCUUCAAAAGCUCAUAUAUAUACUUGUGGUCUUUGAUAUAGUUCGAUGCAUCGACUGACUUAAGGAACACCGUGGUCCCUUUAGAAUAAACCAUGAAAUUAAUAAUACUUAAUUUCGUGGGCCCUGUCCAUCCAUCUGACAUUAUUGUGCACUCAUAUGUCUUCCAUUUUUCCCUUUGUUGGUUCACAUAAGCUUCCAUUUCUUUGUACUCCAUUUCCAAGUAUUUGUUCUUUAUUUCAUAUGGAGAUGGAGGUUCAAUUCCCAUUCCUACACUUCAUAUGUAAAACAUGUCACAAAAUACUAUACUUACUAAAAGUAUAACACAAUAUAACAUUUGAUAAAUUAGUAAUUAUCUGCUUGUUGUGCACCAAUAAUCAUAUUCUUGAAGUGAUGAGACUUUGCUUUUGCGGGUGCGACACUCUCAUAAAUGAAGAAUUUGCUGAUUAAGCGUCCCAUUGUUUCUUUAAUUGCACCACCCUUGAAUAUAUCUUUGAUAUUUUUUUGUUUUGCUACAGAAGACUUGUAAAGCGAAGGGGCAAUAGGGGGUGAAUGAUGCGAAUGUUGCAUACUCUGUGAUUUUCGCAUCGUCGACGGUAUACCAGUAGAAGACUCUCCCGAUUUGCGUUUGCUUCCUACAAUAUUCUCAUGUUGUUCACGUUCCCAAUUAGAUGCUUUUGAGGCACGAACUACAGAUCGAUAGGCAUCUCGCUCAUCUGGGUGCAUAUCUGUCGGAUACAUAUACACAUCUUCAUCCUCAGCAUCUUCAUCAUCAUCAUCUUCGUUUACCAAAUGUGUAUGAUGCGUCCCCAUUGUGCCACGUAAUUGACUACGAAUUUCUUCAAUAUCAGCAUUUUUCUUUGCUUUUGCUUUUUAUUUGUCAUGCACCAACAAUCGUAUCUCUUCUUUCACUUCGAGCAGCACUCUUGGACACUUUUUGGUGUUGUUAUGCGGGUCCUUAUGCAUUAAAUGAGACUUGAAUCGUGUGAUGCCUCCACUUUUCAUUACCAACCCACAAAAAUUACAAAUUGUUCCAUUUCAAUUACCCUCAAUUGGUGAACAAUACUUCCAAGUCGGAUCUCGCCCUGGCACGGCAGAACCACCUUCACUAGCCAUGCUAAAUCUAUUGCAAGAAAAAUACACUUAAAUUUAAAUCUAUGUUAAUUAAACUAAUUAAAUAAAUUACCUAAGUUAAUUUUUAAAAUCUAAAUGUAAUUUUAUGACAAAUUUACUAAAUAUUGAAAUUAAUCAUAAUUGAAUAUGAAAAUAAAUCACGAUAAUAUAAAAAAUUGAGCAUAUUUAAUAUUCCAUAUAUAGUAGUUCAUGUUAAUUUAACUAAUUAAAUAAAUUACCUAAGUUAAUUUUUAAAAUCUAAAUGUAAUUUUAUGACAAAUUUACUAAAUAUUGAAAUUAAUCAUAAUUGAAUAUGAAAAUAAAUAGUGAUAAUAUAAAAAAUUGAGCAUAUUUAAUAUUCCAUAUAUAGUAGUUCAUGUUAAUUUAACUAAUUAAAUAAAUUACCUAAGUUAAUUUUUAAAAUCUAAAUGUAAUUUUAUGACAAAUUUACUAAAUAUUAAAAUUAAUCAUAAUUGAAUAUGAAAAUAAAUCGCGAUAGUAUAAAAAAUUGAGUAUAUUUAAUAUUCCAUAUAUAGUAGUUCAUGUCAAUUUAACUAAUUAAAUAAAUUACCUAAGUUAAUUUUUAAAAUCUAAAUGUAAUUUUAUGACAAAUUUACUAAAUAUUGAAAUUAAUCAUAAUUGAAUAUGAAAAUAAAUCGCGAUAAUAUAAAAAAUUGAGCAUAUUUAAUAUUCCAUAUAUAGUAGUUCAUCUUAAUUUAACUAAUUAAAUAAAUUACCUAAGUUAAUUUUUAAAAUCUAAAUGUAAUUUUAUGACAAAUUUACUAAAUAUUGAAAUUAAUCAUAAUUGAAUAUGAAAAUAAAUCGCGAUAAUAUAAAAAAUUGAGCAUAUUUUAUAUUCCAUAUAUAGUAGUUCAUGUUCAUUUAACUAAUUAAAUAAUUUAGCUAAGUUAAUUUUUAAAAUCUAAAUGUAAUUUUAUGACAAAUUUACUAAAUAUUGAAAUUAAUCAUAAUUGAAUAUGAAAAUAAAUCGCGAUAAUAUAAAAAAUUGAGCAUAUAUAAUAUUCCAUAAUUAACCAUGUUAAUUAAAUGAAUUACAUAACUUACUAUGUUAAUUAAAUUAAUUAAAUAAUUUAGCUAAUUUAAUUAGUUUAAUGUAAUUCUAAAUGCGAAUUUAAAUCACAAAUAAUCAUCUAAAAUAAAUAUAUCAUAACCUAAAUUAAUUCAAUAAAAAUAUACAAAAUAAUUACAAUUGAAUGUAAACAUACUAAUUAAUUAAAAAUACAUGAAUUAAUUAUUGCAAACAAAAUUAAUUAUAAUUUCAAACAAACAUACCUUAAAAUGAUUGAAUAAUUGAGCAAUCUUGGAAAAAAAAUUGGAGUAAUAAGAAAGCAAAUGAAGAAUCAAAGUAAAAAUGGAUGAAAUUGAUGCAAAAUUGGCUAUUUAUAGAUGAAAUUUAGGCCAAAAUAGCUGUUGGAACCUUAAGUUACCGUUUAAAAUUAAUUUUGGUCGUUGGAUCACAAUUUGGAAGCAAUCUGGCCGUUGGAUCUAUUUGUUAACGUUGGGAUUCAAAUCUGGCCGUCAGAUCACAAUUUGGAAGCAAUCUGGCCAUUGGAUCUCUUUGUUAACGUUGGGAUUCAAAUCUGGGCGUGAUCUGGGCCGUCAGAUCACGUUGGAGAGAGAGGGGCGAUUUUUCGCCAAAAAUUGGUGAUAUAUCGCCGAUAAAUCGGCGACACACCGGAUUCUCAGGCGAUUUUUUGAUAAAAUCGCCGAUUUAUCCUAUGUCGCCGAUUUUUUGGCGAUUUUUGGCGAAAAAUCGCCUCGCCGACUUAUCUCCUCCAUUUGUCAUUUCGCCACCCGCCGACACACGAUAUAUCAGCGAUAUUUCGCCCAUUUUUUUCCGAUUUUUUCCUCCUUGAUUAUGACUAUGCUUAGUUUCUAGAAAAUCCAAGGAAAAGAAAAUAAAGAGGAAAAGUAGAAGGAAAAUAAAAAAAUUGAAUUUAAAGUCAAUACAUUAUUUUUAUAUGGUUCUUCAAAGACUUAUUUUCUUCUAUUAUAUAAAGAUUAAAUAAUUUUAAGAUACUUAAAUUUUUAUCUAAUUUUAAUUAUAUUUUAUUUUCUUUCGUAUUUUUUUAUAGAAAAACCAAAUAUAAGAAAAUCAUUUUCCUUAAUUUUUUUUUUCUUUUCUUAGUAUUUUCUUGAAACCAAACAUAGCCUAUGUGUUUUGCACAUGAUCAUAUGCUUUAUUUUCAUAUGUAAUAUGAAUCCUAUGACAUGUAUGUAUUAUUUCAAGGCAUGUAAUUAUUCUAACACUUACUUGUCAUGACUUGUAGGAAUUUAUUUAAAACAUUUGGUUAAAAUGGAUGAAAUAAUCUCAAAAUUGUGAAUCUAACUAUUUCCAUGUUUUUUCUCAAAAAGUAACUCAUUUUUUAUAUAAAUACAUUUUAUCAUUUCAAGUAUUUACAUGUAGGUUUUCAAACAAAAUGUUAUUUUUAUAAUAAAAUAACGAGGACAUUUUUGUCAAAAUGAGGCAAAAAAAGGACAAAAUAUUAAAUUUCAAAAAUUGGGCUUUCAUUGACCCUUUUAAUCAAAUAACCUAAUUUAUUUUUAAUGUUUUAGUUAAGUAGCUUGAACCUUAGGUUUAGAGAUGUGUUACAAACCGGUAGGUAAGCAAUAAGUUUGAUAACUACUUUUUCCAAGUAUGGAUUUUUGAUAUGUUUAAUCCUUGCAUUCUAUAUUUGUCUCUAUGUCAUCAUUACUCAAUUGUAGGGGGUCAUGUAACUAGUGGUAUUUUUAGUAUUAUUCUUAUGUUAGGCUGGAUUACUUCAAUUAGAUAGUAAAUUUUUGUUAUACCAAAGAUUUGUGCAUUGGUACCCAUUGCUUUGCCUAAUAUACAUGAUGUUAGCUUCUUUGAUUUGGCCCAAUAGAAUUAGGUCGUGAGCCUCAUUAUCAAAUAUCUAAGGGGAAGUAUUAAUCAUCAAUUAUAGUCAAAAUAGGAUGUGUUGAAUGCUAUCUCUACAUUUAUUUUAUAAAUUUUUAUAUUGUUAAAAUGUUUUGAAUCAAUGAUUGAUUAUGUAUGUAAAUGCAUAAGUCUUUUAGGGUAUGUUUUGUAGUAAUUCUAGGAAUCAUUUGUAGUCUAAAAAGUGUUUUUGAAAAAAAAAAUUAGAUAUUUGAAAAAAAAAAUUAAAAUACUUUUAAAAAUCUAUAAAAUCACUUGUAGUGUUGGAAAGUCACUUAUAGUAUUUUUUGAAAAAAUAUUUGGGGCCUAUUUAAUAAUUGUUUUUGAAAACAAUUCUAAAUACUAGUUUUUUAGAACAGUUUUUGAAAAUUAUUUUUUAAUUUUUAUAAAACAAAAGUUUGCUUGGAAAUGUAAAAUGUUUUUAAUAUUUUAAAUAUAUUUUAAAAAUAAUUUUAUAUCUAGGAUUUUAUUUUUAAUCAUUUUACAUGUUUCUAUAAUUAUUUCUUAAAACAACCCUCAGAAAACAAAUGAAAAUAAUAUAAAAUAACUAAGAAUGAGUUUGAUAAUAAUUUUAGAAAGUGUUUUUACUUUUUAUUAACAUUUCAAAAAAUUUAUAUUUCAAGUAAUAAAAAGACUAAAAACAUUUUCUAAAAUCACUCCUAAACGUACUCUAAAAGAUGUUAUCUAAAAAUACUAUAUUUUAUAUUCUUAAGAUCAGAAAAUAGAAAAAUGAUUUUUAUUCCCAAAUGUGUUUUCUAUAUUUUUUGUUUUGAAAAAUAGAAAACUAUUAUAAAAAACAGUUCCCAAAUAGGUCCUUGAUAUGCAAUUCUCCUAAAAAUACCUUCAAUGACAUUUCUAUUAAAAACACUUUGAAUAAAAGCACUAUUAAUUAAAUGCACUCUUAUUUUGAUAACAUUUUCAAAUAAGCAUGGUAUGGAUGUAUUAUUUACUUAAGUCUGCUUGAUCAGUCAUGAAGUAUUCUAACUUUUAGGUUGUAAAAUGUCCAUCAUUAAGAAACUGUAAGAGCCUCUUCAUGUAAAAUAGAACCUAGGGUUUGUGAGAGAAGCAAAGUAUUGUGUGCAUGUAAAUUGACUUUAUCUUAUAUUUGGAUUUACAUGAAAACUAAUUAGUUCAUAUUCAAGAUUAAAUAGUGAAGAUUUACUGAAAUGAUUUAAGAUUGAUUGAUUUUGCCUUGGAUUCAAAGUUGCAUUCAUUGAAGAGUAGAUUGUGGUUCAUGGAGUUGCAUACCCAUAGAGUUAAAAUCAAAUAAAUAAAAGGCAGCCAACAAAUACCUUAUAAUUAGACUUCUAAAUAUUAAUUACUAAGCAAGCUUUUUACAAUAUCCAUAGCCAAGUAGAAGACAUUAAUAAUGGUGAAGUAAUGAGAUGAUUAAAAGUGUGUUUGAUAGUGAUUUUAGAAAGUGUUUUUAACAUUUUUAACACUUCAAUUUUUUUAUUUUUUUAAGCAUUAAAGAUGCUAUUAAUAAUUCCUAGAAUCAAUAUCAAAUACGCUCGAAGAGUCCAUUUGACAGUGAUUCUAAGAAACAUUUUUAGUCUAAAAAGUGUUUUUUUUUUUAAAUAGAAGAUGUUUGAAAAAAUUUAGGUAACACUUACAAAAAUUUGAAAAAUCGCUUAUAGUGUUUUAUGGAAAAACAUUUGAUAUAUAAUUCUCCUAAAAACACUUUUAGAUAAAACACUUCUACUAAAAACACUUUGAGUACAAAUACUCCUAAACGCACUCUAAAAAAUUAGAAUACUAAUGGAAUUAUGUGAUGCAAACCACUUUCAAGAACUGCCUUAUUCCCAUAUAAGUGAAAUGCCACACCUCAUUAAGAGUGUCUUGGUAGUAAUUAUAGAAAAUAUUUUUAGUUUUUCUAACACUUGAAAAUUUUUAUCUUUCAAAUGUUAAAAGGAUUAAAAACGCUUCCUAUAAUCACUGACAAACAAACUCUAAAUCCAACAAAAACAAACACAUAAAUACACAUACAUCAUGACCUAAUGCACAUUGAUCUAAUAAAGACAAACACAUCGAAAGAAGCACUUUAUUUUCUAAGUGCUUCUUGCUAAUCAAAUAUGACAUGAACCAUAAGUAGGUAGAGGGGUAGUAAAAACCUUCAAUAUGUUUGGAAGUCCUUUCACAAUCAUCUAGUAUAACCAUUGGUGUACAAGAUGCACUUGAUACAUAGCACAUUGUUGUUGUUCGAAUAUAUUGCAAUUGUUCCUUGGGUGCAAGAUGUUAUCAUCAUCUUCAUUAAAACGCAUAAAGAGAAAUACCCAGCUACCAAAGAAUUAUGCUGGAAUUGAUCCUUAACUUAUUAGUAUUGAAUAAGAUUGAUUUUUCCUCUAUUGACUCCUUCGAACUAAAAAGGGUUUGAAUGUCAUCAACACCGCAAUUGCCUCAACCACAUUCAGUAUGAAGAAAAUCAUCUGGUCACCUGCAUAUGAAGAAUUGUAAGAAGUUUUUAAUAAACAGGUGAAAAUUAGCCUUUAAGUUGUUUGACUUUAUUUAUUAAUUUUCUUGGAUCAUUCAAUAUCAACCCUAAACUUACUAUUUUACGAAGAUUUAAUGGUUAUGUUUUGAGAAAUUAUAUAUUACAAACAUAACAUGAUUAAGAGAGCAAAUGAGGGAGGAAAGAUUUAAAUACUGACAAGAGAUUUUUUUUUUUAUAUUAUUAUUAUGUAGCAAAUAACCAUUAAGAGAAGACGAUGGUUUAGCCUAAGCCAUCAAAUGCCGAACCAAUAAAAGAUAUGCCAAAUAUGGUAAUUGGUUCACAUGACAAUUGACAAACUUUCCACCUUCAGAAAAAUUAAUACAACCUAUUGCAUAAAUUAUCAAGAAAAAAGAGGAAUUGAAUGACCAAAGGAGUCCAUUCCUCACACAAAAAAAUCAACACUUAUUUUGUGAUUUAUUAAACAAACGGUCAAGAAGAAGAGUUCUUUAAAGAGGAAUCAUCAUUUUGUAAAUUAUAACAAAACAAGAAGAAGAAUGCUAAAGAAGAAGAAGAAAAAUGACAAAGCUAUAAUUUACAAAAUGAUGAUUAUUGUUCUACAAUAUAUAGGAUUUCCAUUAUCUUGAACCCAACCUAGAACUUAAGAAGAUAGCUUUUAUCAUUUUUCAUGGUCUUUCAAAUAAGUAGAAAUGUUGAUGAAUCAAGUUUCAUAUAUUAUUAAGCCUUUUCAUAGUACUUUUAAUUUUUUGAUAUUCCAAUGUCGAAUGGCAGGAAUGUGAGGAGUAUAUAUCAACUUGUAUUUAGAGUUUUUCUUUUUAAAGGAUUUGGCUAUUACAACUUAUUGGGAAGUAAGGCUGUAAUUUGGAUUGGUUGAUCGAAUUGAUGGUUAAUUAGAAUACAACUCAAAUUAAAAAUUAAUCAAUCUAAACCUAACCCAACCCAAUUUCUAAAUAGAGGCCCUAAUCCAAUUUCAUCUUUGUAUGCUUAGAUUGAGUCCUAGUUGGUUGGAUUAAACUCGAUUGAUCGGAUUGAUCAAGUUGUAUUAGUCAAAAUCUAUUUAUAAUGAUUUUUAAAAACUUAUAUAUAUAAAUUAAAUAAUUAUAUAAUAUAAUUCCAAUUUGAUGUUUUUCUAAACAAUCUGAAAAGCAAUUGAAUAUUAUUAUAUAGGAUAAUAUUUAUAAAAAUGCUUAAUCAGGUUUAGGUUAGGCUUGGGAUAUUCAAACCCUAGUCUCACCCAAAUUGAACUUGUAUUGAAAAAAGUUAGCCCUAGUCAAACCUUAAGUAUUGAAAAUGAUUGCCUAAACUUAUUCAAACAUUGGGUUAGAUUCGAAUUUGGUAUGAUCAAUCCACUUAAAUUACACCCCUAUUAGGAAGUAGGAUGGUCAUCUAAGAUGUCCUCUAAUAUUUGAUUUGUUGGGGUAUUUGUGAGAUUUAGGAACCGCUUGUUCUUAUUUAUUAUAUUUUCAAACUUUUGUCAUGAGGUAAAUUUUUAAUUGCACAUUAAUCCAACAUCAUUGGAAAUAAAUGAAUCAUUUUUAAGAUUUAUUUUGUAGUUUUUUUGUCUUCAUAUUAAAGAUGUGAAAUUGGAAGGAUAACUUCCCUUAAAAUUUCUAACUUUAUUAUAUGACUAUAAGUUUGAAAAUUUUAUCUUAUUCCUUAGACCUGAAGGUGGUAUGACACUCGUCUAAAACAAGGUCGUUCUAUAUACUCUUGCUUCUAAGAAUCAGGGUCCUAUAAAAGCAACAAAAUCAUACCUGGGAAGAAGGCAGCUCUCUGACGCCCUUGUGCCCAAGAAAAGCUACAAAUACCAGCAUCAUUAAAAAUAACCAAAUGGUACAAUCUUGUAGAAGGAAAAACAACUUUUAGAUAAAGCAAUUGUUAUUUAAUAAAAUAAAUGGAAUAUAAUUUGGAUAAGAUGAAAUCAAGUGAGACAACAUUUAGGGAAAGUGGCUAAAUAUGACUCCCUAUCUACACUAAAUCAUUGGGAUCAAAGCUUUCAUAGGCCACUAACCCAAUGCAAACCUGCACUAUGAGUAGAACAACAGGAUUCUUGAUACAAGUUAAGGAAGGAGGGAAAGCAAUAAAAAAGAUGUCGAUAUCUAAACCUUUUGUGUUAGGAAAUGAUGGGCAAACAUGACAAGGAAUCAACUAGUGUAGAAGAGUAAGAGUAUGCUUGGUUUUCAGAAAAUUUGAGGGAAAAUGUAAGGGAAAGAAAAUAAAGAGUAAAAGUAGAGGGAAAGAAAAAAUGAAAAAAAAUAAAAAAUUGAAUUAAAUUUGAUAAAUUAUUUUUGUUUGUUAUUUUAAACUUAUUUUAUUUAUUUUAACUCAUCAAUAUAAAGAUUAAAUAAUUUAAAAAUGUAUAAGUUUCUAACUAAAUUUAAUUAUAUUUAAUUUUCUUUGGAAUUUUUUCUAAGACAACUAAACAUGAUAAAAUCAUUUUCCUUAGCAUUUUUUCUUUCCUUAGUACUUUCCAAGAAUCAAACAUAACCUAAGAAGUCCAUAAUUUCCUAGAUGGUUCAAUGGCAUCAAAAGUCAAUAUCCUAGGAGUGGAUUGAAAGCAAAUCAAAUAAAUGCUAUAUAAUUCGUAUAGGUGAAUAAAAAUUAGGAUUUUUUUUCCUUGGAAGAUGUUUUAUUUCUUAUGGACACAACUUGUUUUAAAGUAUGUAUCUUGUAUUUAAAAGACACAACCUCUUCCAAAGGAUGUGUUUGGUGUCUUAAGACACAACCCUUCAAAGGAUGUAUCUAGUAUUUUAAAGACACUUCUCUUCUAAAGGUUACCAUCAAAUUUAUAAAUAGGGACCUCCUAUGGCCUUUUCAUUCAUUUUCUCCACUCUUUCUCCUUUAUUGUCAUUCAAGUCCUCUUUAACUUCAAAUCUAGUUAUUUAUCUUUUCUACCAAAUAUUUGGCACACAAAAGAGUACAAAUCACCAAGUGAUUUGUUAUUUCUUAUUAUUUGAAGUGCUCCUAUUACAAGAAAAUUAUUAUUGUAUCUUAGGAAACAAUUGUUAAUAAACCAUAAGCACUUGAGUGAGACAAAUUUGUUUUAAGGACAUAAAGUCAAACUUUAGCCUUAAUCAACCUUAUUCGUAAGUUCCAAUUUUCUACUUCAUUUUAUUUGUAUAUUUAUUAUACAUACUUAUUAUUCAUAUAUUUUUCAGUGACGUGGAUAACAAUCUUAAGGCCCCUUUUUAACCAAACUUCAUAAGGCCUUGUCCAAGUCAAGCUCAUUGGAGGGUAUUGACAAGAAGAAAGGAAUAAAAUUAUGGGAUUUAAUGAUAGAUCCUAAAAUUAUGGAUAUAAAUAAGAUUAUAUUUUAUCGGUGAUUAUAUUGAAUCUUCUCAUAUUAGUAGUUAUAUCUAUGCUUUUUUGGAACUCUCUUUCAUCAGCACCUAGGACUGAGUUUUUGUCAUCCUCCUUCUAGAUGUAAAUACAUUAUUAAACCAUGUAAAAUAUUAUUGUUUAUUUAUUUAUUUUUGUGGAUUACUUUUAUUAUCUACGAUAUUGACAAUCAACUUCCCCGACGAUUCAAAAUUCAUAUGCUUCUCGGUCUUUGACAAGGGACAAGGUCUAACUUUUAAGCAUAACAAGGAUCAAAGCAAGAUCUCAAAAUUUUGUUUUCAUUUUAAUAUGGAGUAAGAACAAAGUAUAGCGAUCCUUAAGUUUAGCUCCCAAACUAUACUCCAUAUUUUUGCCUUCCCACAAAGAUGGAGAUGGGAAUGAUAUUUCUGAGUCGUUGGGAAUCUAUGAUGUGCUGGUAUUCUAAUAUUCCAAAAUAAAUAGUGAAAUAAGACUAAAAAAACUUCAGUGCAAGACCUUUUGGAACUCAUUCUUUUGAUUUGAACAGUUCAUAACCCUGAGUAAGAGCUUUUAUGGAUUCCAGGCAUCAUAGUGAAAAUAUAACAGCAAAAUUAAUGAAAUGAAGAGAACACUCACAUUACACCUCCUCCAGCAGGACCUGCUGCUUUGAAAAGAGACAUUGUAGUCAUAGUGAUGCCAUUUGCAGCACCUCUCUGGUGUUGCUCCUGUUGGGGCAAUAUGAGUGACAAGUUAUCAUUUUGAAAAUCAAAUGAAAAUUGGAAUGAUAGAAAUGAACCUGGAGAAGCCCAGAAAAGAGUAUUACCACAGCUCUAUUUUGCAGAAUAAUCAAGCUAGUUCCAAUGGACACCUAAUCACAUUGAAAAUUUUUUACUAGUAGGAGAGACAUUACUAAUGAUCAUUUGAUUUGCCUACCUACAAGAGAAUAUUCAAGUUGUAGAUCAACUUACAGAUAAUACAUUCUUCAUUGCCGAUGCACAAUUCAAUGCCAAAGAGAGGUUGAACCCAGAAAGCAUGGCUAUAAGAGGGUAAAUUGCCAACAGAGGUAUAGACAAAACCUACAUAUUGGUAAUAGCAUUGUAUGCAGAAAAAAUAUAAAUGAAUAUGCAAGAAGAUAUUAAUUAGUUGAAAAUAGAGAAAGAGUUUAUUGAAUGUUCCAAGGUGUGGGAAACAUACACCGGCAAUGCGACAGAUGAUGAUGGGCCCAAGAAGCUUCUCCAAAUAUGGAUAGAGAAAAAGUUGGAAUACCAAAACCCCAAAACCUAAAAAUUUAAUAGAUGCCAGCAACUCAAUGUCUUGAAUACAUAUCAGAUAAUACACUAUUCACACACAUAAAAAAAAUAAAGGUCUCUCUAGGUGCACCAAUUCAACUAUAAGAUAUUGCCAACAUCUUAAAAGAAAUGGUUAAGCUAUAUUUGGUUUCUAGAAGUACUAAGGAAAGAAAAAAAAUUAAGAAAAAUAAUUUUCUCACCUUUGGUUUUACUAUGAAAAAUACAAAAGAAAAACAAAUAAACUUAAAAUUAGUAAAAAACUAAUAUAUUUAUGAAUUACUUCUUUAUAUAGAAGACUUAAAUAAGUUAAAUGAGUUUCAUGUAGGAUAUGAAAAUAAUUUAUUGACAUUAAAUCUAUUUUUUAUUUUCUUUUAUUUUUUCUAUCCUAUUUUUUUUCUCUCUAUUUUUUUUUUCUGCAUAUUCCCUCAAACUUUCGAGGAACCAAACAUAGUUUUAGAGUAUCGUCUUGCACAUUGCUAUAAGCAUCAUCAAAUGCGUACUUCUACAAGACUUACUUGAGACCAAUUUUCUUCCAAAUUCAACAUUGGGUUCCAUGAGUACAUAAUGCUUGCAUUGUCUCAAUUUUUAUUUCGGUUUAGUUUUAUAUCAUUGUUAUGUUUCUUCGUAUAGAGAUUCCUGUAAAGAAAACUUCUUUUUGAGUUCUUAAAGGAAACAGAAUUCCUCAUCCAUAACAAACUAAGUUUGGUGACUCAAUUAUAAAACAAAUAGGAUGAACUGCCUUCAAGUGUUUUAAAAAGUCAGUGGAGAUGUGAGAGAGAGAGAGAGAGGAAAACACCCGUCAGAGCAAGAAACAUGUUUUGCCUCUCUUGCAUAUGUUUACUUUCUCAUUUCAUUUUUGAGACAAAUAAUCUCCUAAUUAUGGAUGCUUUGCUAUCUCAGUCAUGACUUUAUCUCUCCAGCUGAUCAGCCAAUACAAAGGGUGUAAAAGAUUAGGGAAUCAUUUCUGUUUUGCUUUCCCAUUACAAAGGUGGAUUCCUUUUCUGGUAGCUAAAAUGUACUGGCUUUCAAUUUAAUUGUCAAGCUUCUGAUCAUGCAAAGCAUAAUAGAGUUCCUUAUUCAAAUAAAGGCUUAGCAUCUUUAUUACCAUUCUUAUACCUUCUUAUUAAUUCCACAAUUCAUUUUGUGGUACCAUGGUCUAUUACCUUGAGAAGAAAGGCAGGAUGAUGCUGCAAGCAGCAAGAAUCAAAGUUGUAGGCGCUUUCUAGGAGGCAUAAUUAUAAAACUAAGAUUAUAAACUGAUCCAGUUCCCAUCAUUCUAAUCAUUGAUGAUUUGAGUAUUAUUUUGAGCAUAGUUAUUAUUGCGAUUCUUCUUUCAAUAUGACAUCUCAAACUUUGGAAUUCAUCACUUGAUCUCAUCCUAAUAUUGUGCAUAUGUAUCCUUUUUAAUAUAGCAAGAGCACUAUCAUACUUUAUGAUUUUAGCAUCAAACUAACAACAAACAACUCACAUCCCUCUCACUCUUCUUCCUCUUUUAGUUUUUUUUUUCUUCUUUAAUUAAGCAAUCUAGAAUCAGAACCCAUUUAGAUAUUCUCUCACGAGGAAAAAAGAAGCCCUUAAAAAUCUUUCUGAUUGAAGUUAUUUGAGCAUGAACAUCAGCAUUUCCAUAGGCAAAGAAGGAACAAGCAAGAAAUUCAGUCCAUGAAUGUGCUUCCCAAGCCUCAUGGUAGGAAUGCUGAUUGAAAUUCUUUCCGGCCAAUUUUGAUACCUUAAGCAUGGAUAACCAGAUAAUAGUAUACCUGAGAUUGCAAGAACUACACCUACAUCAUCCGUUGAAUAGCUCAAACCCCCAUAUUUUCUAGGACUGACAGCCCAUAAUGAGAAUAUCUGCAGAAGAAAAUUUUAGUUUCAUAUCAGAUAUAAGCAAAUUAGAUUAAGAUUCAAUGUCAAUAAGCAGUAGUAAAGUGGGAGCCACAAUUUGAGAUGGCCGAGUCUGUAUUCAUUGUUGGAAUAAUGGUGCCAAUGACAGAAAAACAUGUAGCCAAAGGAUGGGUUGGGUGGCCGAAAUAACAUCAUGGCAGCCAUGAUAUGGUGGUAGACAAUGUGAUGACAAAAGAGGUGAUGAUGGUGGUAGCAAAAAAUCCAAAAUCUGGUAGAGGAUUUAGUCAUACAAAAGAGAUUGAGUUCUCCACCAUUGAUUGAACAGCAUGAGAUUGUAAGGAAUCAAGCUACCACACAACAAUUGUCAAAGUAGAUAUAAACAUAAACUAUGUACAGUGUUCAAUUCAAAUACCUUUCCAGAGUUGGUUAAAAUUUUCACUCAUUUUUUAUCAUUAAACAUAUAAAAUUGAAAAGAAUCAAUUGAAAAAAAUUCAUUCCUCUGAGAUAUCAAACAUAGAGAUUAUAAGGAAGCUCUGCAUUUAUGUUCCCUGUUUAUAAAAAGGACCAGAAUGUAACACUGGACAAAGUGUGUAAUAAGAAUGCAUUUAUUUCACAAUUAUCUAGUGUGGAUGUCCCUAAGAAUACACAGGAAGCUCUAAGUGGUCCAAAAUGGAAGGAGGCUGUCUUUGAGGAGAUGAAGGCUCUAGAGAAGAACAACACAUGGGAAAAGGUGAAUUUGCUUGAAGGAAGGAUGCCGAUGGGGUGUAAAUGUGUAUUCAUGGUAAAGUUUAAUUCUAAUGGAUCUUUGGAAUGACAUAAAGUUAGGUUAGUGGCUAACGGUUUUUCCACAAACUUAUAUGACAGACUAUCAGGAGACCUUUCCUCCAGUUUCCCAGUUGAAUACAAUCCAAAUACUACUUUCUAUAGUUGUAAACUUGGAAUGGUCCCUACACUAGUUAAAUAUUAAGAAUAUAUUUUUAGAUGGCGAUUUAAAAGAAGUCUUCAUGGAUGCUCUGGUGGUUUUUUCAGGAAAGCUUUGGAACCAAAGUAUGCAACUUGAGUAAGUCUUUAUAUGGUCUAAAGCAGUCUUUGAGAACAUGGUUCGAAAGAUUUACAAGGUCGGUCAAAAAUCAAGGCUAGAGUCAAGGACAAAUGGAUCAUACAAUGUUCAUGAAGUAUAUUGGAGGAGGUAAGAUAACCAAUUAGAUCGUGUAUGUAGAUGACAUCAUCCUUAUUAGAAGUGAUGAAGUCGAGAUAACAAGAUUGAAGAAAUGCCUUACAACUGAAUUUGAGAUUAAAGGCUUGGGGUCCCUAUGAUAUUUUUUGGGAAUGGAAGUCGCAAGAUCAAAAAGGGGAAUCAUAGUCACAAAGAAAGUAUGUUAAUUUACGUUAGAGAAACCAAGCAACUGAGGGUACAAACCAAGCAACACCCCAACAAAUCCAAACCUCAAGUUUAGAGAAACAAUCGAGGGAAUCCCAAUUGAAAUUAGAAGGUACCAAUGGCUUGUAGGGAAGUUAAUUUACCUUCCCUACACAAGGCCCAACAUAGCAUUUGCAAUCAAUGUUGUGAGCCAUUUUAUGAACUCACCAUACAAGGAACAUCUUGAAGCCGUGUACAGGAUCCUAAGAUAUUUAAAGAGUACACCCAAAAAAUGUUUAUUGUUAAAAAAAAAGUGACCAAAGAAGUGUAGAAGUAUUUACAGAUGCAGACUAGGGAGGUUCAGUCAUAAUAAAAGAUCAACUUUUGGUUAUUGUGUCUUUCUUUGGGCAAUCUCAUUACAUAUGGAGAAACAAAAAGCAAAAUGUGGCAACAAAAAGUAGUGUAGAGGCAAAGUUCAAGGUUAUGGCAAUGGAGUGUAUGAGAUAUUAUGGUUGAAAAGAAUUCUUGAAGAGCUUAAGUUAAAUUUAGAACCUCUUAUGAAAUUGUUUUGUGACAACAAAGCAAAAAUUAGCAUAACAAACAAUCCUAUUCAACGCAAUCAUGUGAAGCAUGUUGAGAUUAAAGAGAAACUUGAAAGUGGCAUUAUUUGUAUGUCAUUCAUCACCACAUGACAAUAGAUAGCAGAUGUUCUAACUAAGAGUCUUUCUAAACCAAGGUUCAAAACUCUAGUUAACAAAUUAAACAUGAUAAACAUCUAUGCGCCAACUUGAGGGGGAGUGUAGAAAUAUUAGGAUUGUUUGUUAAAGUUCUUAUUUUAUUUUCAAAUAAAUCUGAAUUGAUUUUAUUAAUCAAAUUUGGAAUUUCAGAUAAGGUUAAAGUUGUUAGGUCCUAGAUUUGUAGUUUUUUUUGUUACACAGUUAAUAUUCAAACCUUAGCCUAUUUACUCCUAUGUAAUUUAAUAAUUGUUUAAUAAAAAGAAUAUCCCUUUUUCUUCUCUAUUAUGCGUAGAAAGUAAAUGCUUAUAAGCAUGUCAGGGUAGAGAUAUCCAAUGGGUCGGACCGCCCAUUUUGGCUCAUGCCCUGGCACGGCUGGGAUACUAUAGUGAGAUGGGUCGACACAGUCCAAAUGAGCGAGUUGUGUUAGGCCUAAGAAGAUGGCCCGACGUGCCAUUGUGCCAGCCUACUGUGCUGCAAGUCAUGCUGGUCCACCUUGCCAGCCCACUUGGCCCUUUCAAAUUAUCACUUUUUUACUUUCUACUUUUCCCUUUUUUAUUACAUGUCAAAUGUCUAUAAUGCCCCUCUCAACAACUAUAUAACAACUACUUUGAGGGGUAAAAAAGUAAAUCAAUAGUUAUUUUUACCUUUGUCCUAUCAAAUGUCUAUAUUACCCCUCUUAACAACUAUAUAACAAUUAGUUUAAAGGAUAAAUAAGUAAAUUACUCAUUAUUAAUAUUUUAUAUCAAAUAUCAAUAAUACCCCUCUCAACAACUAUAGAACGACUAGUUUUAGGCAUAGUUUUAAAAGGCUCAAGGCAUAUCAAGGCGUAAAGUAGUCCUAGAGCCUGAGGCGUAUGGCGCACUUAAGGUGCGGGCUUUAGUGAAGUGAGGCGCACCCUAAUUUACAUAUAUUUUUCCUCUAUUUUUCUCCUAUUUUUCCUCCUCUUCUUCACUUCUCCACUACACAACUGAGGCUAUGGCAAAAUUUAGGAGAGUUGUCGGGUUGAAAACAACCAGAAAAUGGAAGAGAAAACAGGGUCAAAACGGCGUCAUUUUGGCUUGUUUUUUUUAUUUUAAAGGAACAGGCUCCAAAACGACAUCGUUUUGGUCUCAAAAAAUAAAUUAAGGCUUCUCUCUACUCUCUACAACCCGACGCUGGAGAAGAAGAGAAUGAGAAGAAUGAGGUAGGGAAUCGAGGCGUACCUGUGGACCACAUCACACCUUGCGCGCCUAAGCAGCGCCUUUGUGAAGGGGCGUUGCCUGCCUUCAGGCAAAGCGCCAGAGGGUGGCGUUGCGCCUUUCACAACUAUGGUUUUAAGGGUAAAAAAGUAAAUGAUUCACCAAUAAUUCUCUAUAAAUACCCCUCAUAUUAUUUCUUUCUCACACAAAUCUCUAUUCUCUCUAAUCUCUCUUUCUACAAUCUUCUAAGUUUAAAUUCUCUACAAGUGCUCCAAUUCAAGGCUUUAAGUUAUCUACUAUCCACAAGUUUUGAUUAGUUAUAAGUUAUUUUGUGCUAUCUACGAACUUUACAAGUGGUCAUCAUCACAAUUCACAAGGUUGAGGUAUUUAUAUUUAAUUCUUUCAUUUAUUUAUUUUAAUUCUAUAAUUUCUUUUAAUUGUUCUCUUCCUUUUAUCUUAUUUUUUUCUUCUAAAAUUAAAAAUAGAUCCUCAUCACCUAGAUCUUGAAAACCUUGACUUUAGUAUUGAUGAAUGUAAUGAAUUUAAUCCUUUUGAAGAUGAGGAGAUCCCCACCCCCUCUAGUGUCCCUCCCUCUAACCUUCCCCAAACCAAUCCCAUAGGUAAAAGACCUAGUGGUAGUAGACACACAUCUAUAGUAUGGAAUCACUUCACUAUAAUAAAUAGACAAAAUACAAAAGGAGAUGUAGAAAAUCUAGCAGAAAAUAAAUAUUGUAAAAAAACAUAUAGUUACAAAGCUAGUGGUGGCAUAGGUCACCUUCGAAGACAUGCUGAACAAUGAACCAAAAAACAUGGUGCAUUAGGCCCUAGACAAUCCUAAAUAAGUCAAGCUGAAAUAGGAUCUAGUACAUCUUCAAUGUCCCCUUUAUAUACAAUCAAGAAUUCAUGAGAGAAGGGUUAGUUGGAAUAGUAGCUAGUGUGAGCCUUCCAUUGACAUUUGGUGAAGAUCCUAGAAUUGUACAUUUCAUGCAAAAGUAUGUCCAACCAGCCUUUCAUAGAAUUCCUAGGACUACUCCUCAUAAUGAUGUAAUUAAAUGCUACAAAAAAGAAAAAAUAAUAAUAAUUGAAAAGUUUAAUAAUCAUAGUGGUAUUGUAACUGUGACCUUAGAUAUAUGGACUAAUCAACAUAAUGACCAUUUUACAUGUGUGAUAGCACAUUAUACAGAUUCAAAUUGGAAAUUAAAUAAGAAAAUAUUAGGUUUUCGUGAAAUAUUUCAUCCUCGUGAUGGGCCUAUCAUAUAAGAUUCUUUGACAAGUGUAUUUAGAGAAUAUGGCAUACAAAGCAAAAUUUUUAGUAUUACCUUUAAUAAUGCCUCAAACAAUAAAAGUGUCAUAAAUUUAUUUAUAAUCCACUAAGUGAAAUAUUUCAUGUGAGAUGUGUUUGUCAUAUAAUUAAUUUAAUAGUACAAGAUGGUUUAAAAUUAAUAUCACCCUCAUUGGAGGCUAUUCGAUCUACUUUACGAUUUCUUGAUUCAUCUAGCAAAUUACAAGUAUUUUAUGUUUUAUGUAAAUCAAUAGGUUUGAAGAAGAGAAAAUUCCAUCAUGAUGUCGUUCAUCGUUGGAAUUCUACCUACCUAAUGUUAAAAUCUUGUGUAGGAUAUCAUAAUGUACUAUCAGAUUAUGUUAAUAGUAAGACAGGUGAAAUUAAAAUAACUUCGGAUCAUUGGGUCAAAGGCUUUUCUUUUUAAAAAUUCUUGAAGUUUUUUAUGAUACUACUAACAUAUAUUCUAUUGUAUAUACUCUUACAUCUUUUAUAGCACUUAGAUGUUUUGCAACACGAGUGAUGUGUUUCAACAAUAUAUGGAAUAUCCCCCUUUUAGUGAAAUAUGCGUACAAAUGGAAAUUUUUUUUUUUUUUUGAAAUAUUGGAAAACCAUUCCACCACUUUAUUGUUUAGCUGAUUGUAUGGAUCCAAGGGUUAAGGUUGAAGGCGUAGAAAAUAUUUUAAAUUUCAUAGCUACUAGUAUGAACUAACCAUCUAAACCAAAGGGUAAGAUAUACAAACAAUUAAACAACUUAUAUAAAUAUUAUGAGAAUAAAUAUGGUAGUGCCUCUUCAAGUACUAUAACUCCAUCUGCAUUUGGAAAUGAUUCAUUCUUUAUGCAAUUAGCUAAGGAAAAGCAACAAGUUGGUCCUUCAAGCAGGUGUGAUCUUUCAAAAUAUUUAGAUACUGGUUAUUGUUCAUACCUAUCCCUUAAUGAAGUAAAAAAUAUUGAUAUUAUGAAGUGGUGGAAAUCUCAUGAAUUUACUUUUCCUGUGCUAUCUAAAAUGGCACGUGAUCUACUAACCCUAUCGGUGUCUACUGUAUCAUUGCAAUAUAUUUUUUCUAUAGUUGCAAAUAUAAUAGGAGACAAGAGAACAACUCUCACAACAGAGAUGCUAGAAACUUUGAUAUGUUUGAAGGAUUGGGAAGAUGGAUGCAUAAGACUCCAAACUUUGGAAGAUGAACUUAAAAAAAACCUCAAGAAAUUGGAUCUCAACACAAACAAUGAUGUUCAAGAGAUUGAUGACGAUUGAAGAUGAAGAAUGAAGAUGAAAAAAGAAGAAUGAAGAUCGAAUAAGACAAAAGCGAAUAUGAUAAUUGAAUAUGUUGUUUGUUUCUUUUAAAUCUAUUAAAUGUAGUUAAUUUUUAAAGGUUGAGUAAAACAUAUAAUUGAUAGUUGGGUGGGUGUCAACCUAGUUGGGAUGUACUCAAACUAUAGUGAUGCAAUUCUCACCUUUAUUUUCUUCCUAUUUUUUUCUUGUAAUUUGUUGAAAUAUUGAAUAAAAGAAUUAUUUUUUUAUAUUUCAUUUCCUUUUAUAUUCCAUUAUUUUAAAUUUAUUGUUAUUUUGAUUAAAAAGAAAAACCAAUUGAAAUAUAACAAAAUGACUUAAAAAAUUAAAUUAAAAAUUUUAACAAAGUGAAUGGCCCACCGGCAUGGCACGACACAACAUAGCUUGGCACGAUUGGCUCACAAGCUUAUGGACCGUGUUGGGCCACCUAUUUAGCAUGCAUGGGCUGGCCCGGCCCGACACGAUUUUAAAGUGGGUUGUGUUGACCCAGCACGUUGGCCCGUUAUGGCUUGGUAAACAUUGGACGCCUUUGUGUCAGGGUUCACCAAACAGUCACAAUAAGCAAAUGAAAAUAUCCCAAUCUCACUUCACAAGCCCGGACUAACAAGAAGUUAAAGAAUAUGAUAUUAGCUAAAUGAAGCCUGCAAAGCUGUGGGCUAUACUGCACAAUAUAGUAAUACAUUGUUCUCAGGAAUCAAAACACAAGCUUGUUUGAUUCCUCAACCUGUAUGGGUUGUAGGGCAGCAUACACAGAGCAACUCUCAGCUAAAUUUACAGAAAAAGGAAAAGCAUCUAUGGAUGGAUGUGUGCAAACAUUUAGAUUAUAACGAGCCCAAAUAGGGUCACCUAAGCAUGAAAAUAUAGAAACAAGAAAAGUAGAUGGUGAAAGGUCCUCCCAACCCAAACUAUUUAGUCAUAGACCAAGUUCAAUUGAGUGAAAUUAUCCAAGAAAAGAGUAACAUGCAAAUCAACCAAAGGAGUAUUCCAACAGCUGUAGCAGCUCCACCAAUCCCUCAUUCCACAACAUUUUCUAGUUAGGCCAGAGGGAGAGUUUUCGCAUCAAAAAGAAAAAAAAUGUCUAAUAUUCUAUUUAUUCAGUAAUUGUUUGUAUGCAUGCGGACAACAUACACAAUCAAGUAAUGGGCUCCAAACUGGAGAUUUAUUUUGUGAAUCCAUUAUCAAUCAGAAACUGUAGAUUAAGAAAUAUUCCAGAAUCUGAAGCUAAGUGAGAGACAUACCUCCGAGUAAGCCAUAUCAUGAAGUGAGAAAACACAGAAAACAAUGAUAGAAGACAUCAAGGGCCAAUUCUUUAUGAGGCUUUCCUUAGAAGUUGGUUUGUUUGCCUCAAUUUCGUUUACUGCUUCUUCUGCAUUAAACCCACAUGGAGCUUCCAAAGCAUUGUAAGAGUUUUUACUUAAUUUGUUGUUUUCAUUGUGUGUGUGCAGCGUUUCCUGCGUUAGGCCAGAGAUUUGGAUAUCAAAUGCAGUAAAUAGGCAGCAAUAGCAUAAAGAAGUGAUUCCAUGAACAUGCAACUAUACAUACAACACCAGAAAUAUUCAGGAAAUUUGGAUACAGAUUGACAAAAAGAAAAAUGUUGCAGUGCAACUUCACAAAAUUCAAGCAUCAAAGAAUUUCAAAGUGAUGCAUUGGCAUAAAGAUAAUAAUAAGAAGAAGAAUAUGCAUUGAUUGUCAUUAACAUAUUCUGUUGUGCUUAACCAGAAAAAGAACUUAGAAGCUACAUAAGAAGAAUAAGAACAGCCUCUAUUUUACAGGUUGGUAGUCAAGAAAUCUGAAAGAAGAUAAUAUACAACAGUUUCAUUUUAGUAAGACUAAAAAUCUUAAUGUGCCAAGCAAAAUUCCAAACCCCGAUCUAAGUUACAGGGGAAGACUAAAAAUGGUGAAACAAUGGCUAGAUAGCGCUUGAAGAUGAAUGUUUAACACAAUGUUGAGCUAUGUGGAUUGGAAAGGCAAAGAAGUGGUUACAUUCACAAACCAAAAUAAUAUAUCACCCUAAAACAGGGAAUAUAACUGGAUGACAAGAUGGAGAGUACCAAUUAAUAUCAUUUUUGGUCAGGAAUUACAUCAUAAUUAAUAAAUAUUAAGAAGGUACAUUGUGAUAAAACUGGAGUAAAAGAUCUAGAUUCAUUUACUGUUAGGAUGCAUACAAAUCAGAGCAAAAGGUUAUAUGAGAAGUAGGAGAGUAAAGUCCUAGCUGAAAGCAUCAUGCAUGGUUGCAUAUCUGCUUUUCUGCCCUUCUGGUGAAUAGAAUGCUCAAAAUCAUGCUCAGUGUUCUAAUACAGUCUUCAUGCCAAAUGAAGCCCCAAAAGCUUCUUAAAAAAUCUCUGGUCAUUUCAAUAAUGUAUUUGAAUGAUGUUCUUUUUCCAGUAUGGAAAUUUACAUCCAUCCUGACAAGUGAGGAGAAUACUACUUAAAUCAAGUUCUGUUGGUAAUACAUGAAGUGACCAAGGAACUGAACUGAUUGAGAAACCUACCUGAAGCCAGCAACAGGCAAUAGUUAUCCCAAACGCAUAAACAGAUGUGCAAAGGCAGGGCAAGAAGUAUGGGAAUCUGCAUCAAAGAUUCAUGUUCUGUAACAUCAAAUACACCAAAAUCCAAAGAGCAAGAGAAAAAAAAAUGAUACCAUCAUCUAAGGAGGCAAAGAUCUAUUUACCUUCCAAAUAUAGAUUCUUUUGAGAAUAUAUUCGGAUACUUUUCAGCAGGCUAAAUUAAUAAAAUCAUCCAGGAAUAUCAAACCAUUAGUUAUGUUAUCAAAUUUACUGAAAGGAAAACAAAAACAGAGAAAGUACUUGAGAGACACAAAGGAAGCAAACUUCAGAGACACAAGGAGGGGUAGCAGCAACUUCUAAUUGGUGGUACAACCAAAUAUGGACAUUUCAUUAGUAACUUCUUAUCUACUCUUAGGAGACCUUUUAGCUACAAUUCUCACAAAAAAUCACAUUUCUUUGGCCAUUGAUAAGUGUGUUUAAGGUGCUUAUGGCUUAUCUAUUGCCUAAGUAUGUUGUUAGUCCCUCACUUUUUGUGUUUGAACUGUUUUCUUGUUAUUUUCAGGUUUUUGGAGCUAUUUUGGGUGGAAAUAUUUAUGAAUGAGGUACCAUGGGAGGAGCCAAGAAGGUUGGAGGGAGAAGGACUUGAAGAAUUGAUACAAAAGUGAUGGAAUUUGGAGUUGGUGGGAUGUGCAAAAGCAAGGCAUACACACACUUAAGCCAAUGCAAGAAUUUUGGAUAAUUGAGCACAAUGAGUGAACACAGAGGAACACAAGACUUUGUGUAUGUAAAGGCUUUGGCAUCCAAAAACCCAAUGCAUAUAGCCUACACAUGGAAUCUGCGAAGGUAACAUCACCACACUCUUUUCACAUUACACAUCCACAUUCAAGUUCUACACAUAAACUCAAGCUCAGCAACCCUGCACAUGUCUUAAGCAUAAGAGCAUGUGCACAUGUCUGUGUAGCUCCCUUCAGCAUUCUUCUGUUGUCUGUACACAUCCUGAAGUCUAGUCAAAGCCAUAUACGAACAUAUUAGUUCUUCAACAGGCCAUUUUAUUUAGGCACAAGGCCCAAACAGCUGACACAUGGAAUUGAUUGAUUAAUUGAAUUUUGGGGAUUUUUCUCUUCAAAUUGUCUCA